GGAAGCGAGACUUUGCUCCCAUCAGAGCAAAGUAUGAUCUUGAGAAGUACAAGUGGGAAAAGUCAAACCGCAAGUGCAAGAUUGUCAUCAAGAAAACCAUCACGGAGGGCCUAAGAGGAGCAAUCCCAGAAUGUGACACAGCAAAAGAAUAUCUUGAGAAAGUGAAGAAUCAGUUCACUGGUUCCACCAAAGCUCAUGCUUCCACCCUGAUCCAGAAACUCACUAACAUGAGGUUCACAGGGGGGAGUGUGAGAGAGCACAUUCUGAGCAUGAGCACCAUGGCAGCCAAGUUAGAGAAGCUAAAGAUGCCCCUCGCUGAUGGUUUCCUCAUUCACCUAGCUCUAAACUCACUUCCUAAAGAGUAUGAGACAUUUGUUGUUAACUACAACACACAGCCAGAGGAGUGGGAUUUAGAGAAGGUGAUUGCUAUGUGUGUACAAGAGGAAGAAAGGCUCAAGAAUGCAAAUGGUGGUUCUGUGAACUUUGUGAAAGGAAAGAACAAGAAGCCAUUCUACAACAAGAAAGCUCCAGAUGCCUCCACCUCCCAGAACAAGGGAGGAAGCACUUCACAGCCUAAAGCACACCCAAAGCAAGACAACCAGCACAGGCAGGAGGACCCGGAUCGCUGUAGAUGGUGUAAUGAGACAGGGCAUUGGAAGCAUGACUGCCCUAAGUUCAUGAAACAUUGCCUAGUGAAAGGUGAGGACAUUAUAACUUUUGUUGAUGAAUCCUUAUAUCUAAGUUAUGCUAGAUCCACAUGGUGGAUUGACUCAGGUGCAACUGUUCAUGUUGCAAACUCUUUGCAGGGAUUCAGUGGAGGGAGAACCCUUCAAAGAGGAGAAAGACAGAUUAAGGUGGCCACUGGUGUUGAAGCUGAAGUUCAAGCUAUAGGAAAUUUAUCUCUAGAUUUAGCUAGUGGUUUCACCCUUGAGUUGCAUGAUGUUCUUUAUGUUCCCUCUUUAGCUAGAAAUUUAAUUUCAGUUUCAUGUUUGUCAGACUAUGGUUUUGAUUGCCAUUUCAGCAAGAAUGAUUGUAAGCUACAGUUAAAUAAUAAAUGUGUGGGUCUUGCCUUCCGACAAGACAAACUUUAUUUAUUAUCUUUGUCUGAGAAUGUGAAUGCUGAAUGUAAUAAUGCUGAGAAUGCAAUACCCGCAGAUGCUAGCAAGAAAAGGAAGAGAAUUGAUUCCUCAUCGAAAUUAUGGCACUGUCGUUUAGGCCAUAUUUCGAGGGGGAGAAUAGAACGCUUAGUCAAAGAAUCAAUCCUCCCACCAUUAGAACUCUCAGAGUUAGAGCAAUGCGUUGAUUGCAUUAAAGGCAAGUUAGUAAAGAACAUAAAGAAAGGCGCUAAGCGAAGCAUGGGAGUACUAGAAUUGAUCCACACAGACAUCUGUGGACCUUUUCCAGUGACAUCUGUGGAUGGUUUUGAUUCCUUCAUCACAUUCACAGAUGACUACUCUCGUUUUGGAUACAUCUAUCCAAUCAAAGAACGCUCAGAAGCUUUAGACAAAUUUAAGAUAUUCAAGGCUGAGGUUGAAAACCAACUAGACAGAAAAAUCAAAGUAGUAAGAUCUGACCGUGGGGGGGAGUACUACGGUCGACAUACCCCUUAUGGACAAGUUCCUGGACCUUUUGCAAGGUUCUUACAGGAAAAUGGCAUAGUAGCCCAGUAUUCAAUGCCAGGGGACCCACAGCAGAAUGGAGUAGCAGAAAGGCGUAACCGCACUCUAAUGGAUAUGGUGCGCAGCAUGAUGAGCUAUUCCACUCUGCCACUGAGUUUGUGGAUGGAGGCCUUAAAAACCGCCAUUCAUAUUCUCAACAGAGUUCCAAGCAAGUCAGUACUUAAAACCCCGUAUGAGUUGUGGACCGGCAGGAAACCCUCAGUCAACCAUCUGCGUGUCUGGGGGAGCCCCGCUGAAGCAAAAGUGUUUAACCCAAACAUAGGAAAGCUAGACCCCAAAACAGUAAGUUGUCAUUUCAUUGGCUAUCCAGAAAAGUCGAAAGGUUAUCGUUUCUACUGCCCUGGUAGACAUACCAAGUUUGUGGAAACGAGACACGCUAGUUUUCUAGAAGAUCAGAUGAUCAGGGGGAGCAAGGCAGCGCGAGAAAUUAACCUUGAAGAGAAGCGGGUGUUCGUGCCCAUUCCCAUGGUGCAAGAACCCUACUUUACGCUGCCUGUUGUUGUUGGAUCUACACCAGUAGUGACAACACCUGCUGCUUUUUCGCCUAUGGCCAAUUUGGAACCUGUCCCUCAGGAGCCGAAUGAACCCAUAGUCAAAGAACAACAGCCCCAACAAGAGCAACCUCAAGAAGAAAUGCCAGUAGCAGAAACUUCUGGCAGACCUCAAAGAGCAAGAAAGUCUCCUAUUCCAGAUGACUAUAUAGUCUAUGAAUGCGAAGAAGUUCAGAUGGAGGAUGAACCCACUUCAUUUGAAGAAGCCAUGAGGAGCACCGAAGCAUCUAAGUGGCAAGAAGCCAUGGAAGAUGAAUUAAAGUCUAUGAGUACCAAUAAAGUUUGGGACCUAGAGAACAUUCCUGAAGGAGCCAAAACAGUAGGCUGCAAAUGGGUCUACAAGGUGAAACGUGACUCCAAAGGGAACAUAGAAAGGUACAAAGCAAGACUGGUAGCCAAGGGUUUUACUCAGCGAGAAGGGAUAGAUUAUAAUGAAACAUUCUCUCCCGUCUCGAGCAAGGACUCUUUUAGAAUCAUAAUGGCCCUAGUGGCACAUUUUGAUCUAGAAUUGCAUCAAAUGGAUGUGAAGACAGCUUUUCUCAAUGGGGAUCUAGAAGAAAGAGUAUACAUGGCACAACCGAAAGGUUUUGUUGUGACAGGCAAAGAAAGAAUGGGCUGUCGCCUGAAGAAAUCCAUUUAUGGAUUAAAGCAAGCAUCCAGGCAGUGGUAUUUAAAGUUUGAUAAGACAAUCAGAAAGUUUGGGUUUAAAGAGAACGUUGAGGACAAUUGCGUAUAUGCAAAGUUUAAGAAUGGGAAAUACAUUUUCCUAGUACUGUAUGUAGAUGACAUUCUACUAGCAAGUAGUGAUGUCACUCUACUGCAGGAAACCAAGAGAUUUUUGUCCUCAAAUUUUGAUAUGAAAGAUUUAGGUGAAGCUUCUUUUGUCUUGGGCAUAAAGAUUCACCGAGAUAGAAGUCGAGGGGUAUUGGGAUUGUCCCAAGAGGCAUAUAUAGAGAAAAUAUUGAAGAAAUUCAAUAUGCAUAAGUGUAGACCUUCACCUGCUCCUAUUGUAAAAGGUGACAAGUAUGGGGAACAUCAAUGUCCCAAGAGCAAGUUCGAGCGCGAUCGCAUGCAAGCCGUUCCAUACGCUUCAGCUGUCGGAAGCUUACAGUAUGCUCAAGUGUGCACACGCCCAGACCUGGCCUUUGUGACCGGGUUACUUGGUAGAUAUCAAAGUAAUCCAGGUAUGGAACACUGGAAUCUAGUAAAGAAAGUCUUAAGGUACUUGCAAGGCACGAAAGGGCUCAUGUUAACCUAUAGAAGAUCUGAUGACCUACAAAUAGUAGGGUAUUCAGAUUCUGAUUACGCGGGAGAUGAUAGAAAGUCUACCUCAGGGUAUGUAUUCACUCUCGCGCAAGGAGCCAUAUCAUGGAAGAGCUCAAAACAAACAAUAGUCACUGCAUCGUCCACAAUGUAUGCUGAGUUUAUUGCUUGUUAUGAGGCAUCAGGACAGGUGAAUUGGCUUAAGAAAUUUAUACCCAGUUUAAAGGUGGUCGACAGCAUCGAUAAACCACUAAAGUUGUAUUGUGACAACGAGCCAGCAGUGUUGUAUGCUCACAACAAUAAAUCAAGCAAUGCAGCCAAGCACAUUGACAUAAAAUAUUAUGUUGUCAAGGAUAAAAUCCGGGAUCACGUCAUAAGUCUUGAACAUAUAAGCACAGAAAAGAUGCUAGCGGAUCCGCUUACAAAAGGCUUACCGCCCAAUGUGUUCAGAGAACAUGUAGCCGGCAUGGGUUUAAGGGAAAGCCUGUGAUUCCUGGAUAGUAAGGGGCCCAAGGCGAGAAUUCAUCUUCAAACAGAAAAGUGUUUGUGGCUGUCUAAUCUAGCAGUGAUAACUGUUAAGAUGAAGCAUGCUCAAUACACUGAUUUGUGAUGGGGUGAGUUAACGAAGCGAGAAAGCACAGUUGAGAUCAAGGGGGAGAAUGUUAGGUUGAUCUCAGGCCCAGCCCAACGGCUGAGGCCUUCUCCCUCUGGAUCGCGCCCUGAUCGGGGGCGCCCAACCGAUCUAUGGUUGGUGGGCCCCCGACGCGCUGCGCCACAUAUAAAUAGGAGUAGGGGGCUACAGGCACAGAUGACGAAGUUCGUCGUGCGCCGCCAAACCCUACUCACAACCCUAGGUCGCCGAUCGACAGUGCGCAGUGGCGUCGGGAAGCACCACCGCGCCGUCACCCUUCUACUCCUACUCCGCCGUCAUUGGUCAGUGCCGGUGGAGGCCUGAAGGACGACGGGAUCUACUCCGUCACCGCGUCAACGCCCUCAACAUGGACAGCACAGGAGCUACUCUCACCGGCAACGUCGAUGGUCGAACCCUAACCUCUCUCACUAUUCAGUUGUAUUAGAUCUAGUGUAUGUACAUAUAUGUGUCACUGUCUAUAUUGUUUUAUUGUAUCCCGAAUUCCUAUCCGUUCUAUUGCUAGUAGAUCCUGCUAGAGUUUUAACAGAUGGGUCAUCUACAUGUAUGUAUAUGUAGUUUAGCAGUAGUACUGAUGGAUCGGAGUUUGGUUAUGACUUGACCGACUUGAUUUAGAUCGAGAUCGAUGCCUAAUUAAUUAGUCAGAGGGAAAAUCGAGAUUUGUUCAGUCCAUUAAGUCAGUUUUUUUUUCUUCCUUCCUUUCUGUUUGUUGGAUAGGCAGAGUGUAAUUUGAUCGGUGAUUGAGAUUUGUCAAGUGACACAAUUCUUUCUCACUAUAUAUGCAUUUUGUUUGCCAUUUGAAGACAACCCUGAAAAAAUGUCGAUUUGCACCGGUUCAGACCGAGGUCAACAAAAUUGUGUUGUGUUCCACUACUUUCUGGCCAUGUCAUAAUUAGAUUACGUUCUGCCUUUUUGGAUAGCAAAUAUCCAAAUUUGCUACCCAAAAUAUCAUCUAAUUCUGACUUGAUGUAAAGGCGACUAGAAUCUUCCUCUCCGCGUUUCUAAGAUUAUUUGAGGGACCAUUGGGGAAAUGGUAAAAUUAAGGUUCCUAUCCGUUUGGAAACUGAAACUAGUUCACCCAAGAGAAAAAUUGAAGCUCCUAGAAAAGGCUGGCCAGGAUGCUCAUGCUGACAUAAAAGGGCUUAUGAUUAGUACUCUUAUACAUGGCUUAUCUAAGAAAAGUGGCCUACAAGCUACAGCCUACAUACAAAAGCCUAAUACUCCUAAAUGGGUUUGCUAUCAUAUACUGUACCUAAGUUGAAAAAACUGUUUACCUUUUUCUUCUAUGAGAAAGAAAAGCAAGCUGCUGGUGAGUGGUGAUGGAUGUCACUCAUGUCUUUUCCAGUUUCCAAGAAGAGAGGAACAUUGCCAAUCAUUUCUGUGAGCUGAUCAUCAUCAUCCAUCAAUGCUGCUAUUAUUACCUUUUUCAUAUUUGGGGAGCAAAAAUAAUAACUCCAUCUCAGAAAAGAUACAAUUCUCAGAAUAGUGUUCAAUCAAGCCUUCUAAAUUUAUAUAAAAAUAAACAUCAUUAGAUUGGUCAUGGAAUAUAUUUUUGUAGUAUACCUAUGUGAAGUCAUAGACAUUGAUACUAUUUUCUACAAAUUUAAUCAAAGUUAAAAUAAUUUGAUUUGAAUAAGACCUAGAAUUACAUCUUUUUUAGACACAGAGUUUUUCUGGUAUAUUACUCAUACAUACGGGACAAUCAAGUAACAUCUUCUAGUGCUAGCCUUGUGUAAUUCGCUGAGCUCAUGGACCACUCAGAUGGAUGGGGGGCACUCCUGUGAUCCUGUCUGCUGGUGACUGACAAAUUAUGAACGGGUGAUCACAGUUGAGCUAAUGCAUGCAUCAUGCAUGUGCCUACUGUUGCUGGGCUGAAUCAUGGCCAUGUUCCUUAGCUAGUAGCUUGCAAAUCAAAGACAGUAACCUGCACCGUCAAACUCAGCACUCCUUUAUUCCCUGAUGAGACAAAAGAACUACUAGGUAGUAAUUCAUCUUUAAUGAUGCAAGAAUUGGAAACACUUACCAGAUCCUAUCCGGCUAUGCCUGUGGUGGUUUCAUAUGAUUAGUUCUGAAGAAUUCGGAGGGGCAUAUGAUAUUCCAAGUACUGUAGAACUGGGAGCUUCUUUCGCAAGACAGUGGCCUCUUCCUUCCUAGUUCCUACAAAGUGUGCUUGUGAUAUCUUCACUUUAUCUUUUUUUUUCUAAAAAAGAAAAUCAAAGUAUGGUAGAGAUCAUUAUCACCUACAGUUGCCGUGCCCCUCCAAAUCUAAACUCUGAACUUUCCACGCAGCUUUCCAGAUUUGGUCUUAAUACGGCCCUGUUCAUGCACCAAGAUGAUCAGGAUUCAGGAGACUGUUGACGCAUCACUGUUCAUGUGUAUUUGCCUUUGCCCUGAUCAUCUGGCAUCAUCCUCUCUCUUUUUUUUGUGCUCUGGACAUCAUUCACUAUUCCUCCUUUUUCAUCCUGAGCCAUACCUUUUCAGUCAUAGUGUUUUUAUCUCACAACAAUUGAGCAUCACCAUCAAUCUUAGAAAUGAUCCAGCGAUCAAGAUCAGCUUGCUGCAAAAUAGUUGCAGGACCUGAUGACUUGGUCAGAACAGAACACUGUCCCAGCCCAAUUGGACACAGGGUGAUGCCGUUUUUGCAGUCUACUAAACUUCUUCACCCAACAAUUCUUUUUCUUUUCUGUGUGAAAACUCGAUAGAAGAAGCGUGGUCCUGCUAGCAAUCCAAUCGAGAAGCCUUUUAGUUCCCAAAAAAAUUUACAAAAUUUUUCAGAUUCUCCGUUGCAUCGAAUCUUUAGACGUAUGUAUGGAGUAUCAAAUAUAGACGAAAAUAAAAACUAAUUACACAAUUUGGUCGGAAUUGUCGAGACGAAUCUUUUGAGCCUAGUUAGUCCAUGGUUAGACAAUAUUUGUCAAAUACAAAUGAAAAUGCUACCGUAUCGAUUUUUCAAAAAAUUUUGGAACUAAACAAGGCGUAGGCUGAUGAGGAAAUGCGACCAACAUUGUCACUGCUCACCUUCCCACAACCGUUGUUACCACUUACCACCACCGCGUGUGGUAUUGCGAGGGACCCGGCCGGCCGGCCGGGACCGGAGGUUCUACCAAUCCACCGCCGGUCAGCGUCUUGCAGAGAUUGAGUGGUCCUGCCUGGUCAAUCAGACAGAGAGACUCCAUCAGGCAUCAGGAAAAGCAGCAGAGGGACGCGCGGCUGCAGUGCGUGCAUCUCCGAUCCGUGCCCCCAAAGCAAAGCAAAGCAAAGCGCCGGCAGCCGGCAGCCUAGAUCGGCAUGCAUCCGCCGAUCGAAGAGCUCUUGGAGGGCGACUCGGCAGCUGACUUUGUUAGUAGGAGUAACUGCAAUUGUGUUGAGCUGAGCUCAUGGACCAUUCACUAUGGAUGGGGGGCACUCCUGUGAUCCUGUCUGCUGGUGACUGACGGAUUAUGACCGGUGACCACAGUUGAACUAAUGCAUGCAUGUGUCUACUGUUGCUGGCUGGGCUCUGUUCCUUAGCAAGUUUGCAGAGUCUACUCCUCCUAUCUUGCAGAUCAAAAGACAGUAAAACCUGCACCGUCAAACUCACGACUCCUCAGUUCCGUGAGACAAAUGAACUAGAGUAGGUAGUAGUUUACUCUUCUUAAUUAAGGCCUUGUUUAGAUACACUCAAAAACACAAAACUUUACAAGAUUCCCUGUCACAUCGAAUACAGAUAAAAAGAAUAACUAAUUGCACAGUUUAUCUGUAAAUCACGAGACGAAUCUUUUAAGUCUAGUUACUCCAUAAUUAGACAAUGUUUGUCAAAUAAAAACGAAAAUGCUACAGUGUUAAAAUCCAAAAACUUUUUGCAUCUAAACAAGGUCUAAGGCUACAAGAGUUGGAAACAUUUUUCAGAUCCUAUAUAUGCCUGUGCUAUCAUGUGAUUUGUUCUGAAGUAUCCGUUAUCAUCAUUAUGAAAUCAAAGGCUCUUCCUUCCUUUCUACAAAGUGUGCUUGUGAUAUCUUCACUUUAUUUUCUCUAAAAAAAGAGAUAAAUAAUAAAUAAUCUAUGCUUGAGAUCAUUGUCACCUACAGUACAGUACGUUCCCGUGCCCUUCCAAAUCUAAGCUCUCAACUUUGCACAUUGCUUUCCAGAUUUGGUCUUAAUCCCUGUUCAUGCACCUUGAUCAGGAGACUGUUCACGCAUCACUGUGCACGGGUCUCUGCCUUUGCCCUGAUCAUCUGGCUUCAGGCAUCACCCUUUUUUUUUCUCCUUUUCAUCACCCUUUUGUCCUCUGAAGAUCAUUGGACUAGGUACCCGUUACGUGAAAACUAUUGACGUCCUGAGUCCUAAGCAGUGACCAGGCAGGUUGUGUGCGAUAAGCAAGCAGGAUCUGAUGACUUGGUCAGAACACAAUACUGUCCCAAUUGGACACACACGGUGGAUGUGGUUCCAUCUUGUGGUGUGUGGCCUUGUUUAGUUCCAAAAAAUUUUGCAAAACAGGCACUGUAGCACUUUCGUUUGUAUUUGACAAAUAUUGUCCAAUCAUGGACUAACUAGGCUCAAAAGAUUCGUCUCGUCAAUUCCGACCAAACUAUGCAAUUAGUUUUUAUUUUUGUCUAUAUUUAAUACUCCAUGCAUGCGUCUAAAGAUUCGAUGUGAUGGGGAAUCUGAAAAAUUUUGCAAAAUUUUUUGGGAACUAAACAAGGCUGUAAUGUAAUACUGUACUAACCUUCUUCAAUUCGCCGAACAGUUCUUUUUACGAGAGACUGAUGAAUUUGACGAACGGCAAAGUGGGAAAACAACUCGAUAGAAGAAGAAGCAGUGUCCUGCUAACAUUCGGAGAAGCGUAAGAUUCCCACGACCGUUUGCGGCCGGGACAGGAGGUCUACCAUUACCAAUCCACCACCGGUCAGCAUCGAUCUUGCAAUCAGACAGACAGACAGACAGACAGACACACUCCAUCAAGCAUCAGGAAAAGCAGCAGGGAUAUGCAGUUGCAGUGCAAUAAUGCAUGCAUCUCCCCCAAAGGCCAAAGCGCCAGCAGCUGACUUUGUUUGUGCGUGUGGUAGCCGCAAUUGCGCGUUGUCUUGCUCUCUUCUCGCGUGGCAAGGAGUAGGAGGGUUCGUGACAUAUGUACGGGUCUGGCAGCUGGUAAGUAGAGCAACAGCGAUCUAUCUAUGGUUUGCUCUUGAGGGAGUCGACUCUGGACCAGCAGCACCGUGUCCAAUUUCAGCGGGAUGUUAGCGUAGCUAGGAUCUAGAGCUUUAUUUUAGAUGUAAAACCAAACUAUAGAGUGAUCUAUAUGUAGUUUUCAUAAUUUUAAAGAGCUCAUCUACGGUAGUUUAAUCUUAAACUAUAUUUUAGGGUGGUCAUGGAUCACCUGUCCACCUAGCUAGCUCGGACCAAGCAAGGGAUGAAAUGAAAGGUGCUUGGCUCUCCAGGUUCACUGUACUACUACUCCUUCCCAGAUCAAACAGGCGCGUCCGUCUAUUCUCUCUCUCUUUUUUUUUUUUGUCUAUUCCUCAAGAAUGAAAUAUCAAACUUUUUUUGGAAAAUAUAAAAGAAAAUAGUACUCCAUCCAUCUCAAAUUAUAAGACAUUCCAAGAAUCUUGAAGAGUCAAAGCAUCUUAAAUUUGACUAAAAUUAUUUGAUAAGAUAAUAACAUUUAGUAUACCAACUAAGUAUCAUUAGAUUCUUCAUUAAUUAUAUUUGCAUAGUAUAUCUAUUUGAUGUCAUAAAUAUUUAUAGUUCUCUAUAUAAUUUUGGUCAAACUUGACAUACUUUGACUUUUCAAGAUUUUUAGAAUGUCUUAUAAUUGGAAUGAAGGGAGUAUUAGUGAAGAGUGAGAGAAGAAAAAAAGGUGGAGAGAAAGAGGUUUUCAUUUAACACAUAUCUGGGCUGACUGCACCACAUAGGCCUUAUAAGUUCCAUGGGCCAUGUGUGGAAACCUGUGGCCCGCUGACGUUAGGUCUCGAUCGGGCCUCGUGCGUGGUCGUGGCCUCGUGGUACUUGCAGGACGAAAUUCGCACGCGGCCUCUCCUGAUUUUUUUUUCUUUUUGCAAAGUCUUUGGAUUUGUUCUUUUAUUAAUUAUUAAAAAAACUAUAAUUUUCCUCUUCUGAUUUUUGAAACAGUAUGAACUUGCUCUUAGGGUGGUUUCGAAAGUGGUUUUCGCCGACGUAUAGUCACGAUGGAGAUAAAAUCGGACUGUGUUAAGCUGCCAAAGGUCGAUUGGGCUUUAUAAUGAAUUAAUUAGAGAAAUAAAUUUUCAAAAAAAAAAUUCAUAUGCUUUACUAAAAAAAACGUGCAACUAAAAAUCCUAAAAUAUGAUGAGUUGAACACGCGUGUCACUUAUAAACACCUUAAUAUUCCUGAUCCUAUUUAACAUGAACACGUGUGUCACUUAUAAAUAACACAUGCACAAUCACGAGAUGAAUACAUGCAUACAGGCCCAUCAACUAUGAGUUCUUGGGAAUAACAAAGUCACCACAACCAUCUUGGUACAUUUUCACAUCAUUCUCUUAUGUGGUUGUGUUAAUUUUGUGCGAAUGAUUCAAAUUUCACCAAACGAAAUUCAUUUGCAUGCAUGUUUGCAAACAAGAAACAUAAAGUAAAGGAUGUUAGGAUGUUUCUUUGCAAUAUGGUGGUUCCUAGCUGGUAGGGCCUUUCUGAUUGAGCGUACGUAGACUAAUUAUAACACAUAUAACGAGAUCAUGUACUAGCAAGUAAACAUCAAAAGGAGACUAAACUAUAAACGAGAUUCAGAUAAUUCCAAGCCAUGUACCAUAAACCGGAGCGCAUGGUUCAAGAAUAAAAAAAAACUGGUUUCAUAUAUUUUGUAGCUGGAAAAAAAUCAUAUAUUUUUAGAUUAUAUUUGUAUUUCAGUUUCAUGUUUUUUUUUAAAAAAAAAUUAGUUUGGACACAUCGAAUGUUUGGACACAUACAAAUAUUAAGUAUAAAUAAAAAAUAACUAAUUACACGGUUUGCAUGGAAAACCAUUAGACAAAUCUUUUACGCAUAAUUAGUUCAUAAUUGCUACAGUAACACACAUGUGCUAAUGAUAGAUUAAUUUUAGGUUUAAUUAAUUCAUCUCGCCGCUUCCAAGCGAGUUAUAUAAUUAGCUUUUUAAUUAGUAUCCGAAACCCUAUUCGGCACAUCCCAUGAAAUAUCCAAUAUGACACCCAUAAAUUUUUCAACCGCGAACUAAACAAACUUAUCUAGGACCUUUAGUAGUUGAUUGAUGAUGAUGCAAUCGCCCAUCUUAUCCUAGACGUGCAGCAGCUAGCACCGAUAGGAGGCAUUCAGAUUUCUCUCGGGCGAGAGAUAAGACAGAUCAGCUUGAUGCAUACACAUACAGUAAUAAAAGUGUAAACCCACGGACACUGAUGAGUGAUAGGAACAGUCGGAUCUAAUCAUUGAGGAACCCCGAUACUAGCAGCAAUAAUGGCCAAGACGACGACGGCUAGUAGUACAACGAAGUGGGCUCUUGUGCAUGCAGCCGGCCCACAGGCCCACAGCCCACACAGCCAGUACAGUACAGUACAGUACAGGCCACCCACUCGUUGCCCAGGCCUGCCGUGGCAGUGCCCACCCAAAGAUAGCUGGGCCCCUCCUAGCUGGUGGCCCUGAUCCCUGAUUGGCCAGAUCCGCACCUGUCACCUACUCCAGCCUAUUGCAACGGUGGUAGUAAAGCCACUCACUGUUGAGGGCCGUUGCCAGUACCAUGCUAAUAUGCCCAGCCGUGAGAUGAGACUCCCAGUGCAUCCCUCAAUUAUUCAGCUUUUACUCUCCACUCAUCUAAAAUUAUAAGUUAUUUUUGAUAUUUUUACAUUCAUAACUUUUACUAUAAUAUCAUGUUCGAUUAAGCUUUUCAAUCACGAAAAAAAUCAGCUUCAACAUCAAACGCAGAAACAAUCAGCCGGAUAGGGCAAUAUGUAUCUAGCCAUAAUAUGUAUUUAGGUACGUAGUGCAAACUAUAAAUUUAGAAAAAAUUGUCAAAACGUCUCGGAGGGAGUAGAUUGGAGUGAGAAAGUGCACGGGUGACAAAUAUCUUCCAGCACCUGAGAAAUUUGCAAAGCAAUUCGCACGCCAUGGUGCGUGGCGCGGUGCAGUGUUGCACAGGCCUCGCUGAGAUUGCAAUAGUCGAGCAACUGACGACGACGAAGCCAAGUGCAUGCAUUGGCAUCCUCCUCUCCAGUUGGCGUCCAAAAACGACGCCAUUUGGUCAGUUGGUCGAUCGAGCUAGCUGCUUAAUUUGCCUUGCACACAGUGGCGGAGCCAGGGGGGGCUGGCAGCAGGGGCCAUGGCCCCCCCCUAACAUGUGUCAUUAUACUAGUAUAAAUUUAUGAUUUUUGUUUAUAUUAAGAGAGAAAUAUAAUAACUUUUCUUAUAUAUACUUAUUAGUAUUCUCUAGAUAAUAAAAUUGUACUCCCUCCAUUCUAAAUUAUAAGUCAUUUUAAAAAUUUUAGAGAGUUCAAGCAUCUUAAAUGUGACCAAAUUUAUAUGAUAAGAUAAUAAUAUUUAUGAUAUCAAAUAAGUACCACUAGGUUAUUCAUUCAUUAAUUUGAUGACAUAAAUUUUUGUGAUUCUUUCUACUUUGAUUCUCAAAAGUUUUUAGAAUGAUUUAUAAUUUGUGAUGGAGGGAAUACAAACCAUAACUAGAUAAUACUAUGAAGCACCUUAGAAUUGGGACGCAUCUCUCAAGUUGAUUUACGAAAUCAUCUCAAACAUCUUUUUUUUAAGGAUUUAUCGUUUACCACCGGAAGAAUAACAUAUAUUAUCCUAAAAUACAUAUAGAAAAUGUGAGCAACUAUGUCAAGUCCUGAAUUAAGCUAGGCGGUCACCGGUUAUGUUUAGUUUUGACAAUAUAUAACUCCCGGCUCCGCGCCACUGCUUGCACACAUAUAUGGAGGCCGGCCGGGCGGGCGCUCGACGUACGACGAUGAGAGAGCUUGUGGCUCUGUGACAUACCACCGGGACGUAGUACACCUUCUUGUCAGGAGCUUCAUGCGUAUGUUUGGUGUUUGUGUGAUUAAGCAAGCCUCUUGCUGAACAGCAUGCAUGGAGGUUGAAGAAGGGAGGCAAUGUAAACAUGCAGGCAGCAGGAGGGCGCGCGAGAUGGACAGCUAGCUGAGGACACGCACGCAUGGCAUGGCUACUCUCUUGCACCCGAUCCUUGGUAGGCACUGCAUGGGUACUCUCUUUAGUUCCGAUUUUUUUUGGAAAAUCGACACCGUAGCACUUUUGUUUGUAUUUGACAAAUAUUGUUCAAUUAUAGACUAACUAGGCUCAAAAGAUUCCUCUCGUCAAUUCCGACCAAACUGUGCAAUUUGUUUUUAUUUUCGUCUAUAUUUAAUACUUCAUACAUGCGUUUAAAGAUUCGAUGUAACAGAAAAUGUAAAAAAUUGUGCAAAUUUUUUCUACGAACUAAACAAGGCCUAAAUGCAAAAGUCCUUUUUUUCACGAUCGGGUCAUUCACCCGUUUUUCAUUAAGAGGGAAAAAUACAAAAGUCCUGUCAGUGCACCAUGGGCUUCCCCAGCAGGAAAAGGGCCCGUCAGUCAAGAAGACCCAGCAGCUAGUUCAGUAGUAUUUUCUGAUCUGAUAAGUUUAUAGUUGAAAGUAAUAUUUAAAAAUUUAUUGUAAAAAGAAAAAAAAAUACUGCUUUAGUGGUUGCAGCUGGCCACGGGACCACCAUCCAUCCACCCAUGCACCGCGCAGGGUUGAACGUACGUGCCGCCGCGCCGGCCGGCAUGCCGAGUGUCGCCGUGGUCACCCUCUCCUCCCUCCUUGGUACGGACGGAUCGGCCGUCGUUGGUCUUGUCAGUCUGACCCUAACGAUGGCUGAGGACGAUCCAAGGCCCGUGCAGAUCGAUUGCAUCGCACCUCCUCCAUGCCAUUGGCGUGGCCGGUCCGGCGGCAGCUGUCCGUGGGUGCGUUGCCACAGCAAUGUCUCGAGCAGCACGGACUAGUCCUGUUUAGAUUGGAGAUGAAAAUUUUUUUAGAUGUCACAUCGGAUAUGUCGUAAGGAUGUCGGGAGGAGUUUUUAGAAACUAAUAAAAAAACAAAUGAUAUAGCUCGUCAGGAAACUGCAAGACAAAUCUAUUAAGUAUAAUUAAUCUAUCAUUAGCAUAUGUGAGUUACUGUAGCACUUAAGGCUAAUCAUGGAGUAACUAGGCUUAAAAAAUUUGUUUCGCGAUUUUCAACCAAACUGUGUAAUUAGUUUAUUUUUUAUAUACAUUUAGUGUUCCAUAUAUGUGUUCAAAGAUUCGAUGGGAUGGAUAAAAAAUUUUUGGAUGGGAAACUAAACAGGGCCUUAAGUACGUACGUAUAUCCUCCUGUUAAGCUGUCUCCAAUAGCAUAUGCAUUUGGGAACCCAAAUCUAAAAUAGGUUUCCAACACAAUACCUAUAGCCUCCAACAGAGUAUCCAUACAGAAAACCCAUUGGGUAUCAGGGGAGGCAUAACCCAAAUUUGGAUAUCCUCUCUCCUCGAGACCCAUUUGCAGAGAGUGUUGUCUUUUAGGUCUUGUUGUUGGAGAAGAAUAAAAAUAGAUAUGGAACCUUUUACCUAUAGCGCUACCUAAAAUAUAAAUGGGUCUUGUAUUUUGGGUGACGAUUGUUGUAAUGGGUCUUGUAUUUUGGGUGACGAUUGUUGUAGAUAGUCUAGACUCACUGCUGGCAGAUCGAGCGGCGGUGGUAGGUGAUGCAUGCAGCAUGCGUAUGCACACACACUGUACCUUGGCACAUGCCAUGCCGACCGCCGUGUCUGCCUCUUGAGAGUCUGAGCAAGGACCGUCUGUCCCCGCAACCCAUGUGGCUGCCGUCGUUCUCGCCCGCCGGCCGCCGGCCGCCGGCCUUCUGCUCUGCUCUGGCGCACCACCACUCACACUUCACUGACCGCCCAUCAUCGACGACGCAGGACCUCGCCGGAGAGCAGCUUUAAUCAUGUCCACGUCCACCUGUCUGUCAGCCACAUGCUUCCAGCGCAGCGACGCUUGCCAGGCCACGACGAAUGGUCAAUGCAUUGUCUGCCCUGCCACCGGUGUUGGAGCUGGACCACCGUCACUGACCCCUGCCGACUUGCCGUCGUCCGUCGGUCGCCCACCUGUUCCGCCCGCCCAUCCGUGUUUUUUUUUACAACAAACAAGUACUCGUAAAUUGUACGUAUAGUACUUUAGUACGCGAAAAUGCAGGCUAUUUUGACCAUCAUUGCGCAAAUUUGUUCACACCAAGCAAUCAGACAACCAUCAGAGUAGUAUCUGACACUCCUACGUGUACUACUUCUAUCUACAACUUAGGCCUUGUUCACUUCGCGAAAAUUUUUGGUUUUGGCUACUGUAGUAUUUUCGUUUGUUUGUGAUAAUUAUUAUCCAAUUAUAGAGUAACUAGGCUCAAAAGAUUCGUCUCGCAAAUUACAGACAAACUGUGCAAUUAGUUUUUAUUUUUAUCUACAUUUAAUACUUCAUGCAUGUGUAUAAAGAUUCAUCUCGUGAUUUACAGUCAAACUGUGUGAUUAGUUUUUGUUUUCGUCUAUAUUCAAUGCUUCAUGCAUGUGCCGCAAGAUUCGAUUUGACAGGGAAUCUUGAAAACUUUUUGGAUUUCGAGGUGAACUAAACAAGGGCCUUGUUUAGUUCCGAAAAGAUUUCGGUAUUGUAGCACUUUCGUUUGUUUGUGACAAAUAUUAUCCAUUUAUGGACUAACUACAAUCAAAAGAUUCGUCUCGCAAUUUACAGCUAAACUGUGUACUUAGUUUUUGCUUUCGUCUAUAUUUAAUGCUUCAUGCAUGUGCCGUAAGAUUCGAUGUGAUGGGGAAUCUUGAAAACUUUUUGCUUUUUUUUUGGGUGAACUAAACAAGGCCAAGGCCUUAAGUACAGCACUUCUUCCCAAAAACACGGACCAUCAACAUCAUCACAUCACCACGGCCGGCUUUCCUCGCACGAACGACGAACACGCCACACAGAAAGGAGUCGUUCCCGAAUCCCGACGCCGACGAGUUCAUCUACAACUGAUGAAACCUUGACCUGCUCCUACCAUGCUUGCUGCUGCUAACCGUACCUUCUACUGACAGCAAGGUGCCAAGAAAAAUCAGAAUUGUUGGCAACAUGUCACUGGCUCGUCGUCAUUCAUCUCACCUCAGCUCGUCUGUAGGAGUAGUAGUUUAUUUACUUCCUCCGUCCACAAAAGAGUUAAUUUCUAGAGCUGUCCUAAGUCAAAAUUUUUAAACUUUGACCAAAUUUCUAGAAAAAAUGCUAGAAUUUAUAGUAUCAAAUUAGUAUUAUUAGAUUCAUCAUAGAAUAUAUUUUCAUAUAAUGUGUAUUUUAUAUUAUAGAUAUUGUUACUUUUUUCUAUAAAGUUAGUCAAACUUUAAAAAGUUUGACUGGCACGGAUCCUAGGAAUUGAUUCUUUCAAGGGAGUACAUGCCAAAUCAACCGGUAGAGACGAUUAACCGUCGCCUAGCCGUGGUAAUUAAUUAACUGCCUAACCACGAGCAUUGCAUUGCAUUGUUCCAAGCAAAACCAAGACCUCAACUCGUUACAUUACUCACUAGUGGCGGCAGCGACCGACGGGUUACUGCCCUCCGGCGGCGGCGGCGGCGGGGGGUGCGUCCUUCUUGGCGUCCUUGUUCUUCCUGGCCGCACCGGCGGCGGAGGAGGAGGAGGUGGAGCCGGCGUUUGACGGGGAGAAGAGGCGGUCGAUGCCGAAGACGGAGACCGACUUGCGGGAGCCGCGGAGCGAGCAGACGGGCACGUUGAGGACCGGCGCCACGCGGACGUGCGCCGAGUACGACCGCUCCAUGCCGCAGCCUGGACCCGCGUUGCGGUGGCGCCGACCGCCGGCAAGGCUGCUCGGGCUGCUGGAGCUCCGACCCAGGCCGUUGAACACCACCUUCCCCGCCGCGUUCAGGCGCGGGCUGUCCGCUGCCACCGCCGAGGGAGGGGGAGGCGGCGGAGGCGGAGGUGGUGGUGGGGAUGACUGGGACUGGGAAUGGGAUUGCACCUGAAAUGUCGUCGACGACGAUGACGUCUGCUGCUGCGACGCGGAUGGGGACAGACGGAUCUUCGGAGGCAGCUGGCUCUGCUGCUGCGACGACGAUGACGACGGUGGUGCCGGUGCCGGUGCCGGUGCCGGUGUCGGCGCGGGCGCAGACUUGGUGGUGUCGGGCUCCUCGGGGCCGGGCUCACGGAGCAGAGGCAGGCUGAGCGACGGCUCCGGCUCGGGCGACUUCGAACCCCGGCGGAGGAGCCGGCGCAGCGGCCUCGGCUCUGCCGCGGCUGUCCCCGACCCCGAGGACGCCUGCUGCUGCUUCCGAAGACGCAGGAGAUCCCGCCACCUCCUCGCGGGGAUCUUGGGUUCCGCGGCGCCCUUCGCUGCCGCCGUCGCUACCGCCCGCGGCGUCUCUGGCUGUUGCUGCGGCGGCGGCGGCGCCGGAGGCUGCUGCUCCUGCUUCGGCAGCAGCAGCAGCGUCGACUGCGCCGUCACCUCCUCCACCCCGGGCGCACCCGUCUCGUCCGCGGGCGCUGGGAUGCGGAGCGGGACAAGCUUGCCUCCGGAGAAGAGCUCGUCGGCGGGGAGCAUGGAGCACGCGGCGGCGCACCCGCCGAGUAGGAACUCGAAGUCGGCGCCAGCGCCGGCGCAGGGUCCGGACUUGCCUCCCGCCGCCGUAGCCUCCCUUCCGCCGCCUCCUCCUCCUCCCGCGUCGUCGAUGCUGAACGACACCCGCGGGCCCAGCCACUGCACCGCGGACGCAGGCGGGGGAGGUGGCGGCGGCGGCGGAGGUGCCGGAGCCGGGGCCGGGGGUCGCGGCGCGGCGGCGGCGGACGCCAUUACUCCCUCCUCCCUACUCCAGGUAGCCGAAGCAGCACGCGGCACGAGGGAGAGAGAGCUACUAGUAGCCGACAAGGAUGGGAAGGAAGCGAAGCGAAGCGAAGCGACGUGGGUUGCGGAUCUUCUUCCCUUCUUCUUGGCGGAAACGAAGACACCAGGCGAGCAGCAGGCGGCGGCGGCGGACUGGGGACGACGACGACCGAGCACGAGGUGUACUAGAGGGAGGGGGAGGAGACAGGAGGCGUACGGGCUAGGAGAGAGGCUGCCGGAGUAGACCUGUAGCCGCGCGCGUGUGAUGACUGCUGACGGCGAGGGCGAGGGCUCUCGGUCUCGGGGGAAGCGUCUUCGCGUCUUGACCUUUUGGGGCGUGGAUGGUUGCUUUUUUUUUUUUUUGUUUGGGGGCUUUUUUGUGUUGUGUUGUCAGUGCGCUGGUCUUGGGACUUGGAUGGUGAUUGUCGUCGAGAUUGCGUGGAAUACGGCGUGUGAUUAUUGCUUUUGCGGAGUCAUCAAGGUUAUGAUCGAUUCUUUGCUGUAUUUUCUAGGAUUGGUGUUGAUCAAUUUUUUUCAAAAUUUAACUUAUAUUAUACAAAAGAGUAACAAUAUCUAUGCAUAAAGUGAGAAUAUUGUGAAAAAUAUAUCAUCUGAUAAAUUUAAUGAUACUUGUUUUCUUUUAUAGAAAAUCGAUAAAAUUUAAAAAAUUUAACUUAGAACAUCUUAAAAAAAACUCAGAGAUAGACGAAGUAAAUGUAGGGCACUGCUAGUAGAAAUUGUGCUACUCCCUCCGUCUCUGAAAGAAUCAAUUUCUAUAGUUGUCCUAAGUCAAACUUUUAAACUUUGACCAAAUUUCUAGAAAAAAAUGCUAAGAUUUAUAGUAUCAAAUUAGUAUUAUUAGAUUCAUCAUAAAAUAUAUUUUCAUAUAAUGUGUAUUUUAUAUUAUAGAUGUUGUUACUCUUUUCUAUAAAGUUAGUCAAACUUUAAAAAGUUUGACUGGCACGGAUCCUAAGAAUUGAUUCUUUCAGAGACGGAGGGAGUACUUACAUGUGUUGUCUUUUGGCUUGUAUUUCAUGGUGAUGCGUUUAUUGUGAGCCAUUUAUGGGAUUUUGGUUGGUAUGAGUACGAUGGCCAAUCCCGUGGGCGUCGUCCGCUCAGCGUUUUCAAGCAAAAAACGCAUCAGAAAAAAAAUAUUAUUCCGUGUCAACUGAUUUUAAGCUCAAACGAAUAAAGACAGCCACUUCAACAAAAUGUGAUUCGUUUUUAUUUUUGUGUGCUUUCGAAUCUCGCCCUACGCUGCUCGACCUGAGAGUAUCUCCAAGGGUUUCGAAGUUUGUAUUCGUUGUUGUUUACAAACUCCCAAAAUAAAAUGCAAAGUCUAAAAAUAAGUCAUGUCCAAGGAUUUUGCAUAAUUAAGUUGGUAAUUAGCCAAAGCAGACAUUGCUACGAAUUUUUUUUCCUUUGCGCGCGCUCGCGAUCGUCUUCCCGUACGACUUUUCUUCGCGUGCGUAAAGUCGCCGCCGGUUCUCGCGUUUUCCUCACAGGUCGCACCACCAGUUCUUCCUGCUCCCCACCGCUAGUUGCAGGUGCCGCCGCGACGAUACGUAUCAGACUCGUAUCCGACUCGUAUCAGGUUCUACAGCGGACAGUGGUGAUGGUGUUGCUCGCGAUCGGCAGUGGACGGUGGGGGUUUCUGUCGCGAUCGAUGGACCAGAUAUGACGCGAAGAAAAUCCGGGUCGCACGAGGGACCGGGAGACGCGCACGAUCGGCUUUUUACCAAGUCGUGCGCGGCUUGGCAUAUAUACCAAGUUUGCUCUCUCAUUUGCCAAGUUGCCCAAAAUGCAAACUCCAAAUGCUAAACCAUUGGAUACCUCUUUUCGCGAUUUUUGGCAAAUUACAAGAAUGCAACGUCCAAAUACAAAACCCUUGGAGAUUCUCUGAUGUACUAAUUGGAAGAUGUACCGUUUGUUUGAUUAAUUAGCAUUUUUAUGAUCAAAGAUGCAUGGUUAAUGUGUUGCAUUUUAUAAGAAAAAAAACCUUGUAUCUAUAUAUCUAGAUUAAAUAUGUCGUAAGAAUUGGAUAAGAUUUUCAUUAUGCGCAACCGAAUUUUUAGUUACACUAAUUGCACCUAAAAAAUUACCAUUCAUAAGGUUACAGUGAUAAAAUUUGGGAUGCAGAUUAAAUGUGUCGUAAGGAUUGGAUAAGGUUUUCAUUAUGCGCAACCGAAUUUUUAGUUACACUAAUUGCACCUAAAUAAUUAUCAUUCAUAAGGUUACAGUGAUAAAAAUUGGGAUGUGGAAAAUAACCUAGAAAUAAGAGUAUGGGUUUUUUUUUUCAUUCAAAGAACACAUCAUUUCUUCGAAACCAACUAGACCAAAGAAAAGCACUUACCUAGGCUAUAGUAAAGUUGUUUUUUUUUGUUAUCUCUAUUUGGCCAUGAAGCUAUGUUUUGAUUUUUUACGUCGCGUACGUGUUGCAUUCUUUUAUGGAAUUUAUUAAUUACUUAUAACAUUCGACGGCAAUGCGUUUUGCCCACCAUUUUAGAGGUUUUCUAUGGUUGCAUUUCAGCGUGCUUCAAAAUGGGUUGGUGUAACGUUGUUACUGCUUUUUUUUUUUUUCAAAACACGUCAUAUUAGGUCAAAUUAAACAUGAUUGAGAGGAGCAGAUAAUUCUUGAGUAGUACUGUAGUACAUUAUUUGGUAGAAGAGUAGGAUCGGAGGUAGUACCAAUCUUGAAAGCUCAUUCAUCGUCGUCACCAAAAGAAAUGAUUAGUUAGCGUUGUGUAAUUAUCAUGUAAAAUCUUGUUGUACCUUUUGUCAUAUCUCCACAUCGAUCUCAACAUCAUAUCGCCAAGCUGUGUUGUUUUGUUUCGUUCCACCACUACAAAGCCACUUUCCAUGAUCUUCUAAUCUCACCUUAGGGUGUGCGCGUCGUGGCUCAUGCGUGCAUACCGGCCUGUGCUGCACAUGUGUUUGGCUCUUGUUGCUCGGCGGUUGGAUGACACGUACCCGCCGUCCAACUCGUAAUCGCCUGUCAAUGCACAACAUGCAGCAUCUUGCUCUGUGCAUGUGCGUAGCCUUGGGCUGUUUGAUUGGUUAAAUUUUUUGCAAAGGUCUAUUGUUGUAUUUUUGUUUAUAUUUAAUAAAUAUUAUUUAAUUAUGAAUUAACUAAAUUUAAAAAUUAGUUUUGUAAAUAAAGAUAAAAUAUAUAAUUAGUUUUGUUGUAUUUAUAUAUUUAAUGUUGUAAGAUUCGAUAUGCCGAAAAAUCUCAAAAAAAGUUUGGAAAACUUUUAGGAACUAAACAGCCCCUCGAUAAACAAACAACCAGUUCACAAAAUAAACAUGAGUUGAUCGCACCAAACCCAGACACAAACACCUGUCGUCUUAUAUAAAUAAAAUCGUAAACAAAAACGAAACAUGAUCCAAAUCCAUACAUCGGACAAACACUGGCCCGGCUACUAGUGGCCGGAUAACCAAGGCCUUGUUUAGUUCCCAAAACUGAAAAGUUUCCGAAACUGUAGCAUUUUUGUUUGUUUGUUGUAAAUAUUGUCCAAUCAUAGACUAACUAGGGUCAAAAGAUUCGUCUCGUGAUUUACAGUCAAACUGUGUGAUUAGUUUUAUUUUUGUCUAUAUUUAAUGCUUUAUGCAUGUGCCGCAAGAUUCGAUGUGAUAGAAAAUCUUAAAAACUUUUUGAAUUUCGGGUAAACUAAACAAGCCCCAAAAGCGAAGCGAAGAAAAGGCUAGAAAAGGCCAGGCGCAAAAGUCCAAAAGCGACCAAAGGGGGUCGGUCGUUAUGAUCCAUUUUUUUUUCUCCUCGAUCAAAAGAAAAUUCGUACUCUCUCCGUCCCAAAAAACAUGUAAAUCUCGAUUCCCGAGGAGUCAAAGAUUCUUAACUUUGACUAAAUACAAAUAAAAAUAUAUCGAUGUUUAUGAUGUGUAAUGAGUAUAGUUAGAUUAGUUAUUAAAUAUAGUUUCAUAACGAACCUAAUUAGAGAUUCAAAUGUAAACAAUAAGAUUUAUAAACUAGGUCAAAUUUAAAGAUUCUUUGACUCCUCGGGAAUCGAGAUUUACGUGUUUUUUUACGGAGAGAGUACCUCAUGAUUUGACGGUGAUGCGAUCGUGUGACGUGACGGAUUAUAUAUAUAUAUAGGCCUUGUUUAGUUCCGAAAAGUGAAAACUUUUCGGAACUGUAGCACUUUCGUUUGUUUGUGACAAAUAUUAUCCAAUCAUGUACUAACUAGGAUCAAAAGAUUUGUCUCGUGAUUUCCAGCUAAACUGUGUAAUUAGUUUUUGUUUUCGUCUAUAUUUAAUAUUUCAUGCAUGUGCCACAAGAUUCGAUGUGACUGGGAAUUUUGAAAACUUUUUGGUUUUCAGGUGAACUAAACAAGGCCAUAUAUAUAUAUGUUUGUUUUCUUGCUGAAAUUUCAGAGUACAGCCGGUAGUGGUAACGGUACAGCAGCUGCUUUCGUGCCGUCCCGUCUCGCGGGCCCCACCGGUCAGGCACGGUGUACCCCAGGGCCGACGAGUCGGGGAUCCAGUCUUCUGGGGUUGACCGGGCCCACGAGUCGAGUCGCGUCCCCGGUGCGGUGCGUGGCACGUGACGCACGUCGCGGCCGUUUCCUUGGUCGUGGGUGGCUGCGUCGUGGGCCCGGGCGCGGCAGGCAGGUGGGGAGCGGGAGGUGGCGCGGGCCCGCGUGCCCUGGCUCGCCGACGUGGAUGGGGCUAGCGGUGGGCCUGUGGCGCUGGGCGCCGCGGCCCACACGUGCAGGGCCACACGCCUGAGCGCGGACCGCCUGUGUCUGGGCUUCUUUCUUUCCUUGUCCGUUGGUCUGCCUAUGCGCCUUGUCCACGGAAGUACUAGUAGUAAUUUUUCUUCCAUUUUUUUUUAACUUUUGGCAGGGAUUAGAGGUAGCCUACUAGAGCCGAUGAAUUUUCCUACUUGUUUAGUUCCAAAAAAUUUUACAAAAAUUUUUCUGAUUCUCCGUUAUAUCGAAUCUUACGGCACAUACAUGGAGCAUUAAAUAUAGGUAAAAAAGAUAACUAAUUACACAGUUUAUAUGUAAUUUGCGAGACGAAUCUUUUGAGUCUAGUUAGACUAUGAUUGGACAAUAUUUGUCAAAAACAAACGAAAUUGAUACUAUUUAUAUUUUGAAUUUUUUUUAGAAGUAAACAAGACCCAAAUUGAUUUUUCAUUUUUUCCUAUGGCCUUGUUUAGUUCCCAAAAAAUUUUGCAAAAAAUUUCAGAUUCUCCGUCACAUCGAAUCUUUAGACACAUGCAUGAAGUAUUAAAUAUAGACAAAAAUAAAAACUAAUUGCACAGUUUGGUCGAAAUUAACGAGACGAAUCUUUUGAGUCUAGUUAGUCCAUAAUUGGAUAAUAUUUGUCAAAUACAAACGAAAAAGCUACAGUGUCGAUUUUGCAAAAUAUUUUGGAACUAAACAAGGCCAUGCGUGGCAGGAUCUCAACAUCGACGCAAAUUUCUUUUAUUUUUUUCAUUAUUAUAAGAGGAAAAAAAGUACGAACCACUAAACCAGCAGGACCAAACACUAACCAAACAAUGCGAAGGUUUAUAUAUAACUAUUAUUACAAUAUUAUUAUAGAAAUAAUUUGCGAUCAUCAGAAGCCAACACCACCCACCGAGAAUACCACGGGCAACCUAAAUAAAAAAAAUUAUAAAAAGAGCAAACUCAAGUCAUCUUUUAAACUUGUACUAGAUAGAAUCUAUCUUUCCUACUCAAUCCAUUUCAAAUUAUAAAAAUUUUAAUUUUUUAACACCAAAUUUGAAUAUCACUUUUUUUAUUGUGGCUUGGUUUGUUAAUAAAAAUUAUUAAUUAAAUUUGACUAUAUUUAUAUAAUUUUUUUGAAUAAGAUGAAUGAUUAAAUUUAGAGUGAAAAAAAAGUCAAACUUCAUAUAGUUUGGGACUGAAGGAGUACUACUAAAUUAUUAAAGGAAUGAGUCCAUUGGUACAGAAGGGUGGUAGGGGGGCCACCUGACCAACCCUUCUCAGCCCACAAAGUGUGUCUCCCAACCCUUCUGGGCCUAAAUAGCACGGGUGGGCCUUGUGUUCGCGCUCCCGUUCAACUCUGCUGCAGAGAAAUACGGAGAUGGAUGGCCCAACAAAAGUUUGUUCUCUCGAAUGCAACUCAGCGUAAGUCUGAACUGUGUAAUAGUCUCUUCUAUUUUCAUUCGAAACCAGAGUGCAAGCCCGAGCAAGUCACUCAUCGCGCCACGUCGACCAAUUAAUUGCAGCCGCCGUUGGAUCGCUCGCUGGUGUUGCUGGCCGGAGCACGCGGGAGGCCGGCCGGGAGCCAUCGCCGUCGCCGUCGCCAUCGCCAUCGCCAUCGCCAGCGGCAAAAGGCCGGCCACUCAUGCGACCUGAACAAUGCCUGGAGGAGCCAUGCUGUGUGUCCUCUCCCCUCCACCAUUGCCGGCUGCUAGGGCACCAGCUAGCAACGUGCAGCUGAUGGUUUGCCACAUCGCGUCGCCUGGGGGGGGGGGGGGGGGGGGGGGGGAUACAGCAACAGGGCCUGGGACUACAAGCGUGAAGCCGGCCAGUGGAUCAAAUCAGGCUUGUGACAAGUUUCAGAAUUUAACAACAGAUGGUGACAACAUAUUAGUAGGUGGUAGAAUAAUACAAGGCGAUGAAGCAGCAGGUAACUCCAACUGAGGUUAAUGGAUCUGCUGUUGCCCAGAAGAGAGAAAUUUGCUAGAAUAAUACAGGCGAUGAAGCAGGUAACUACAAAAAAUCUUGUUCUGAAAACUGAAAAUGACUCUGUUUUUUUUUUCUGAAUAUCACUUGACUGUUACACCAAUCGAUUCUACCGAGUAUUAGUGUACUUGGCCAUACCUAGUACAGAUAUCAAUAGCAUGUUUUUGAAUGCCCUUAGAUGAAUUGAUUAUCUAAUAAAUCUACUGUAGCGAGCGAACAAAGUGAGGAGUCACCGCUUAGAUAUAAAUGAUUAUAUGUUGUGAUUGUAUCCACAAAAAUGAUUUUGGUACAUAUUAUACCAAUCAAUUAAUGAAGCUGUAUGUUGUUUUGACUCCAUUGCAAAUACGUACCUUUCCAUUUGUAGAUGACGAUAGAUGACCUACUCAACCACUGUCCACCAGCUAAGAGAUUGGUGUGGCAACGCGGCGCCCCAAGUUUUCUAGUGUUAUUUCAUCCUGCACUUCUCGACGUAGCAACAGCAACCAGGGUGAAAUCUGAAACUGCCCAACACUACUCAUGGUUAAUUUUCACCAACAAUACAGUUCAGUUCAUUCCACCCUGCUCAGCACUCAUGUAAAACUAGCUUCACAGGUGUAGAAUACUAACCACAAGUAAUGGCGCAAUAGAAAUAAACAAUCCCGCUAUUACCAUUCAUACCCUUGUAAGUGUACCGGGAUUAGACUGGGCGAACCUCCACGAUUACAGACUAAACAAACUUUAACAACACACACCAUGCAUGCAGCGGCUGAGUUCCUCCUCAAGUACAGACUAAACAACUUUAGUUUAAAGCCAUACAUCAAGGUGCAGCAAAAGGGCACUACACCAUAGACUGGAGUUUGCAGAAAUUAAAAUUAAACAACCGAGGUGCAGCUGACCAAACUACAGAUACAUACAUCAUCGUUUCUGGUAGCAGCGAUCGAUGUCUUUCAGGAAGCAGAGGAAAUGGUUCUUGAGCCAUCACUAUCAGGUAGCAGAUGCUUCCCCUGUCACGCCUUGGUCCUGAUCAGGUAAGAAUUUAGAGGAAAGAUUACGCUGUCAGAAUCAUGAAGGGGCCGGGGACUGUUAAUUAACAAAGUAAAAAUAGAUCAUGUAAAAAGUGUCUGCAUAUGAUCUGACAUAGAGGGAGUCAUAUAUCAUGCGGUCAUGCUGAUAAAAAAAACCAUUUAUGUAUUAAACUACUAAUACAGACGAGAAUUCGGAAUGCAUACGAAGAUACAUAUAUACAGGAUUGAAAUUAACAACACAAUCCAUUCAUCCUGUUCAUUGAUAACAGAGAUACAAAUCUGUCCCCUCUUGCAACCAACAAAUGUUAGCUGCACGCCUAUAUAUAACUUAUAGAUUUCUCUAAAAAAAAUGACACAGACAAAGAAUAUGUUGUUGUGAGGGAUACAAGCGUUUGUGAAACCUGAUGUUUCCAGAAAAGGCAUAUGUUCAAAUGCUAACAUAUUUCCAUGCAUUCAGUCUUACCAUUGCUCAUUUUUGAAGGGAAUUACUAAUUCUCAUAGACAAUAUACUAACAAGUAACAACUGAGAAGUGUCAUAUGUCGCUAACGUUAUUGUCAAAACUUUUAUUGGCUUCCCAAGCAGCUUGCAACACUAUUAAAUGCAGUCAUAGCUCUAGUGAAUAAUCAUUAAGCUUCAGAUGGUGUACAUAGUGAAUUGGUGACAAUGGUGGAGGCAUAGACAAUCUGGAUGUACAAAUACUAAUAAGCUUGCUAUAUAUAUAGGAACAAGAACAACUAAGAUGGAAGUUUGUAUAAAGUUGAGCAAACACGAGCUCUUUACUGAAUGACACACGCAGCUCCUCAAACACCAAUGUCUUGAGCUUCAGUGAGAAGUACCGAGUUUUUUGUUGCGUCUUGUGUUUGAAGUAGAGGCGUAGAGCUGUGGGCAAGCCUGUAGGAGCAAGAACCAUCAGCUGCACCAGCGGUGCUGUAGUCAAAAGUCUGUCGUUUGGGCAAGGGUACUGUCCUGCUGUGGCGCCAAUCUGCUGCUGCACCAACACCAUUGCCUUCCCUAGUCCUACAAUAGAGGUCUAGGUUGUGAUUACCAAGAACUAAUGCGCCAAGAUCGCCUUCGCUUCCCUCCACGACCAAGUUAGUCCUGCUGAAGUUCGUCCUGAGCAUAGAUCAUGAGUUUGGGUCGUAAACGGAAUAGUAAAUCAAGCAUGACCCUAAUCUCUAAUUCAUGACAUAUUACUACUAUUAGUACUAGUCAAUACUCUUUUGCUCAGGGGGAAGCUAGAGGAAUGGACAGACCGGUGAAAGAGCUGAUGACCGGUAGUCAAUACUCGCUGCUCGCGCCAAUUCCUUCAUACUCCCUGUCCUCUUCUUCAGAUGUCGUGUGGUGGUCAACAGCACCUCUGCUCACCGCACUGAAAUUGCUGGGCUCCGUGCCAUGGCAAACCAAUCCACCACACACGCAGCUCGUCUACCUUCCCCUCUUCCUGCCCUUAGUCACCGGAGUUCCCGGAACGACGGAUCGAGGAACGACAAACCGGAAACAGGAACGACAAACCGAGAAUGGGAACGACGUUUUAGAUGCAAUCUUUACACCGUGGGAACGAUUUCGUUCCCGCGUUCCCGUCCCAAACGCUCGUUCCCGGAACGAGGAACGCUGCAUCGUUCCCGUUUCGUGGUGACACUACUAAAAUGGUGGAGUUCUCCUAGUGUUUUUAGUUAAUAAUAAAACACUACCACUAAUCAAACACUAGAGAAUCCUCAUUAGAAGACAUUUACUAGAGAAAGUUUAUACUAAAUUUUAAAUGCUAAAACACUAAGAGAACCCCAUAUUACUAGGAGAAAUUGAAAAAUCUGGUUGUGUGACUAAGUUCCUGCCCAGGGCAUAGCUGUGGCGCUGAGAGAAGGUCCAGAGCAGAGCGACUGGCAUAUAAGGCCGUCGUAUCCAUCAGCUUCGCCACCUCCACCAUGGAUUCAACCUGGGGAGCUCAUCAACCAAUCUGGCACAAGAACAGUGUUCACAAACUCGUGCUGGUGCUCACGUUCCCAGAUGCAACUCGAUCUCGGCUUGACAACGCUCUCCAAUCAACGGCGCUGGCAAAUCCAAUCUUCGCCGUAUUUUUUAUGUGUGAAUUAUGACAAGAAGCCAUAGUAUUAUAUUUGUGCUUGAUCAUGGUUGCUUGAAAGCGCCGGUCAAAUAUGGCUCCGUCCGGUUACCUUAUAAGUCUGUAUUUUUUUGCGCUAACCACCAGUAUUUUUCUUUCAUGAAAAAUUAGUAAAUAGUAUUUUUAACCGUGACUUUUUAGACCGACACCUCAUUGUAUAUACAAAAUGUCUAUUAAGUUGUCUCAAGGCCGUACCUAGGAUUUGGAGACUCCCGAAUAAAAUAUAUGAUGAGGCCCUAAAAUUCAAGAAAAUCAAAACAUAUUUUCACUUAAUUAUAAAGCUUCAAUUUUUUUCUGAAGUAGAAUUAAACUAAGUUUUAUUUUGAAUCCACUCCAACACAUGUGAAUUGAAGUGGAUAUACAUGCAUCGAAACAAGACUUAAGUACGAUAACACGUUUUUUUACUCCCGGCCAACAGCAGCUGAUGAGCUAAAAAAACAAGGAAGAAAGGUCUCUGAAGCAUACUACAGUAUUUCAUAUACUUGGUGGUGCAAACGGCGGUGGAAAGCUUGCAAAUAGGAAAGCAGGAUCAUUGUAGAAAUCCUUCACGCAUAGCUGCUCAACCACCAACGUCUGGAGCUCCACGGUGAAACAGUGUGCGUUUGUUUUUCGACCCAUCGCCGGGUCACAGUACAACCAAGUCUUGUACUCGUCUGACGGAACCCCUUGUAAGACCGCGUAGCCCUGAUCAGCAGCACCACCAAACACCCACUCAUAAGAGUCGACCAAGGUAACUUCAUCAUCGUGUCGCCAUUGCCAGCAACCAUUGUUUGAUGCACUGCUGAAGGCCUUGCCGCUGUAGAAGUGUAACAUGUUCUCACAAAGAACCAACAAGCCAAUCCUGUCUUCUUCUUCUUCUUCAGCUGCUGCCUCCACAACAAUCUUCGGUUUCCACUUGUUUUAGGCGGGAUGUUAACGACGAAGAAUUUCAUCUCUUUCAUGUCAAGCACGAGCAUGUCUGCUCCCCCAUAAGAAUCCACCCAGUAGAAGCAGCCGUGGGCAUAGUGGUGCUCCAUGUAGUAGAAGAGGUUAGAUAGAGGUUCAUAGUCUGCAUCGCUAAGAGACGCCACGCCACGCCAUUUUCCGGUGACCGAGGAGUAGUCGAAGGUCUCGACCACAUAGUGGUAUUCCAUGUCUUUGGACAGCACAUUACACAUCACCCGGAACGACAAAUCGUCGUCGUCGUCGGCGGCGGCGGCCGGUACGAGGAAAGGCUUGAACUGGCAUUCACCGAGCUGAGCCACAAUGUCGUCUUUGGGGAUGGGAGGUAUCUGAACAUGCUUGUGGUACAAGGGAUCGUAGACCACUAGGUACGGGAAGGACGAGAAGCAGGUGGUGGUGGUGGUGGCGCCGCCGGCGAGGACGCGGCCGUCGCGGGCGUCGUGGAAGUGCCAGCAAUUCUUGGUCGUGUCUGCAGGGAGGAAGGAGGAGGAGGAGGAGAAGGCAGGGGCGCGUGCGACGGCGCGAGCUGCCUGUGCGGAGCGGCGCGGCGGCGCGGCUGGGUUGAAACGGAACCCCACGCUUGCACUGGUGCCGGUGCGACGGCUGAGCAAUCCGAGGACGGGUGGGCGGUGCAGGGACCUGAAGCGGCGGAGGAAACGGCCGUCGGUGACGACACGGCGGAAGGCAGUGCAGGCAGCGGAGGCGCGGACGAGGUCGGCCGCAUCGUCGAGGCGGAGCAAGAUCUUCUCCACGAGAUCAACGGGGAGAUCCGCCGCCGUUGCCAUGGCGUGGACGACGACGACCUGCAACUCUGGAAUCUGGAUCGGCGGCCCAGACGAGAAUAAUAAUAAAUUAAUUCAACUAGGUAGGGCUGCAGCGUUGCGUGUAAUUUGUAAUAACCGCACGUCGAGGCAUUUUGGAAACGGAAACAAACAAAAGAGAAGAGAUAGAAUCCGGAUCGAGUAAGAAGAGACAUUAUGGAAACGGAAACAAAAAACUAAAAAGGUCAGUUUGAUCGAUGGCUAUAUCUAUCUAUGAUUUCUUUUCUGAUUAGGAAUCAGGUUUUCUUUUUCGGUAGAAAAAAUUUUUUGGCACCUGCCAAAUAAGAUAUUUUAGAAAUUUCGGACUAAACUUAUAUAAAUUUAAAUUGUUUUUUUAAAUUUGCAUCAUUUCACUAGAAAACCUUUCUAAUCUAUCACUCAUCACAAAUUUAUAUAAUAUCAACGAAAUAGCAUAAUAUAUCAUUGAUAGUACAAUGAGCUGAUGGUGGUCGAGCUGUAUAUGCUAGUGCCAUGAAAUAUGUGAGUGAGAAAAUUUGAAGAAAUGUAGAGCUUUGAUAAGAUAGGAGAUCCAUUUUAGCGUGGUUUGAAGUUAUUUUAAAGGAUAAUAUAAAUUUAACCGAAAAAUUUAACAGAUAUAAAUUUCUUUUAGACCUCAGCGAAAAAUACGAAAUUUUAGAAAUUUCGACAAAAUUUUGCCGAAAAAGAAAACCCUAUUUAGGAUCAUGGUAGGAAGCUCAGCAUGGUGUACAUUAGCUGUAGCGCCUGACGGUGGCCAAGAGCGUCCAACAGUGGCCAGCCGACAGGGAUAUUUUUUUUGUUUGUUUUUACAAUUUAUUACAGAUGUGGUUAUCUUAAACUAACCAUCUUUAUAAAUAUCACGUAAAAGAAUCUCUAGUCUAAUGGUUAUAAAAGCCUAAAUAGUAUCUUAGGUCCUAGGUUUUCGACUCCUCGUAGGAGUGAAUAUUCUAAGAUUUAAUCGACGUGUUAUGACUUAAGACUUCAUCAAUUCCGAAGAUUUGUCGGUCCAUCUUCAAAUAUGCUUAUAGGGACUGCAAAGUGUUUUUAAAAAAACCAUUGAUGCAAGCGGAGGCAACGACUGCCUCUGUAAUCUUCCAUUUAUAGUGACCAUGCAUUGCCUCAAAACUGUCUGCCUCUGAAAACGAUCGAAGCAGUAACGAAACAUUCAACAAAAUUAUAUUCGUUUUUGUGAAUCACAGUUCAAAUGUAGCCACACAUCCUACCUCUAUGAACACCAGUAAAAGAACAGUUCUCGAGAUCAACAAACUCACAACAUGAGCCCCGUUGUCAAUGGACAUGUUAUCGAAUAAAUCUUAUAAUAAAUUCAGCAAUUAAAAUAUACUUUCUCACAAGUCAUAUGCAAAUAAUUACAGUAAUUUAGAAACAACAUGUUUGAAUCAUUUGAUUUAAAUUCUUCUCAUCAAGGGAGAGGGAAAAUCACAAUCGACAAUUACAAAUUUGAUGAAAACAAAUGGACUGCUAAUAGCUAUUUUCUUAUUAGUAGGUUGGACCAAAACUCUAGCUACAGGUGGUCGUGCAAGGACUGCCUCUGAAAACGCUUACAUGCAGUGGUAAUACAGAGUAGUUUGUUUUUGCGAAUCACAGUUUAGAUGUAGACACACAUAUCCUACCUCUAUGAACACUAAUAAAGGACCGAGCUAACAGAUCUCGAGAUUAAUAAACUCACAAGAAAUAUGCCUUGUUGUCAAUGGAUUAGUCGUUGAUAAUUAAAUCCUAGAACAUGAGCCAAGAAUAAAUUCACAACAUGAGCCUAGAUGUCGAGAUUAACAAAAUCACAACAUGAGAGCCUCCCACUGAAACACCAAUGCCUUUAUAAAUCCUAAAUUCAGCAAUUAAAAGAUACUUUCUCACAAGUCAUAUGCAAAUAUAAUUAUAAAAUGAUUUAGUAAUAACAUAUUUGGAUCAUUUGAUUUCAUUUCCUCUCAAGUGGGAAAAUCCCCAUCAACAAUUACACAUUUGAUGAAAAACAAAUGGGCCGCUAAUCACUCUUUUCUUAUUAAUUAGUAGGCUGGACCUUCAACAAAUUUUAUAUGACUUGUGACAAUAAUUCAACAAGCAGCUGUAUCUAAACUUUCUUCGUCCGUACCCCACAUGUCAUCCUAGGUAUUCGGUUAACCGAAACCGAUUCAUCGGUUAGUUAGCAAACUAGGAACCAAGGAAUUUCGGUCUCGGUUAGUUUGGUUCGGUUUCGGUUAGAACCGAGCUAUCCAUUACACAGCAGCGAAACAAAAGAAAAAAUUGAGAAAAAGGGGGAAAACACGGCAUCAGUUGCCCUUCUUUAGAUCUGGCACUCCUCAUCCCUCGCCGGCAGCAGAGGCAGCGACAGAGGACUCCAGUCCAGGCAGUUCAAUGACUCGCCCUCCAGGCUCCAUUCCAGGCAACGAGCAAGCACGCGGUUCUUGCGAAUGCCCCUCGGGUCCAGGCGGCGACGCAUGGUGGCUCCCCUCUAGACGAGCACGGCAGAUGCGGCGUGGUAGUGGGGACUAGAAUUGGUGGGCACCUAGCGGUGGGAAAGGAGCUGAGGAGGCUGUCUGUAGAAGAGGAAGGGGGAACAUAUGCGCAUGCGCCACACGCACAAGUCCUGGGGGCUGGGGAGAGGAAAAGAACGGGGACGGCUGUGAGGAGGAACAAUAUAUACCUAUACCAACAACUAGUGGGCUGGGCUAUAAGGGCCUUUGUAAACUUCGGUUAUUUUGGUUAACCGAGCUAAGGAACCGAAUUAACCUAGUAAAUUUCGGUCCUGGAGAAGUGGGAACCGAAUUAGGAACCGAAGUUCUCGGUUUCGAUUCUUUCGGUUUUGGUUCCGGUUAUUUCGGUUUGGUUCUCGAUUCUCGGUUAUUUUUUCCUAGAGUGACCCACAAGUGCAGGCAUUCCGUAGCAACACGUGAAAAUUUCACAUGCCCCUACAGACACCAGGGUUGUCUAGACCAUUUGUUCCUUUGGACUGCUUUUGAGAUGCAUAUACGGUAUGCAGUUCUUUCUCCUAGCACAUAAGGGUAAUUUGGUCACCAUACCCUGAUCCACUCUUCUUUCUCCCCCCCCUCUCUCUCCCCACCAAGGCACCAACACUUCCCUCUCUCUCCAUGCCGCCGCUGCUCCUCUCUGUAUACCGCUGCUGCUAUUCUCUCUCGCCGCCGCCGCUCCUCUCUCUCUCUCCCUCCCUCCCUCCCUCUCUCUCUCCUGUCGCCGCUCCGCUUGUCUCUGAUCUUCUAUUCGACGUUAAGCUCUCUCUCUAGUUUUCUCUCUCAUUCCAUUGCUCUGGAAAUGACCUCCAUGAACUUUCUCUAGUCCUCUCUCAUUCACUCUAAAUAUUCAACUAUGAGCUAUGAGCACAAAUCUGGACAAUUCACGGUGGUAUUUUGUCCUAACCUUAGUUGAUUUUUGACCUAGAUUUCUCUCUUAUUCCCUCUCCAUUCUAUCUCAGAUCUCUGUAUUGUCCUCUCCUCUUUUUUCCUGUAUCGUCCUCUCUCAAUCUCCCCCUACAGAAACUAGCUAGCAAUGAUAGCUGCGGCUGCAGGUUCCAUCAAUUUGCGUUGAGAUCAACGAGAAGCUUAUUCUGUUUUUUCUUUUCUUUUAAUUCCAGAAAUUUAGGUUUUUCCAAAAUCUUAAUUUGACUCUCACUCCCCGAUCCUAUCCUUGUUGCUUUUCUACGCUUCUUAGUAUAUAUGUAUAUAUGUACUUUAUUUAUUAGAUCUUGUUCUUCUAGUCACUCUUAUCCUGUUCGAGAUGGAUUCGUUUUUUGCUACCUUUAUCUAGCUCAUUUUAUUACAUUUAUUUAUUUUCUUAAAUCAGUAGCCUGCUUUUAGUUCACACGUAUGGUGCUUUUGAUUUAAUUUCUAGAUAUAUUCUAUACUUUUUUUAGUCUACCAGAACUUUGUCCCUUAUCAUCGAUCUGCUGUUAGAUUAGUUUUCUUAUCAUAUUAUCCUGUAUAUCUUUAUUUUAUUUUUUCUACACAGAUUAACCUGCUCCAAGUAAGCAUUUGGUCUAGCUUGCCAUUUUUCAGUGUUAUAAAAGCUUUUGGAAUCUGUGGAACUGAUUAGUUGAACCCUAGCUGUUGGAAUGUGUUCGGAGUAGAUCUAAGCACUAGCACCCAUUGGCGCAACAGGUGAGGGCUCCACCUAGAGAACCAUUACUGGCCCGACGCUUGCUGGCCGCAGGGUGCUCGAAUAGCAACGGUGCCGGGGAAGCCAUGGGCGGCGAAGCUACUGCCGGCACCGGAGUCGUUGCAGGAACUGGUGGGGGCGGAGCCAUGGGCGGCGAAGCUGUUGCCAGCACUGGUGGAGGCGAGCCAUGGCCAAGCGAGAAGUGAAUAGUGGAUUCGUCCACAUUGCUGGUCGAUUGGAAGUGGAAAGAGUGGCGGUGUUGAAACUGAUCCUCUGCAUUUUGAAAAGGCAGAGCAGGAUACUAGGAAAAGAACUUGGGAAGGAAGUGAUGGGCCAUAAUACCCUCCUCACAUGGGACAAAAGGGAAGAGACCAAACCUGCUAUAAAUGAGACCACUCCAAUCGAUCCAACGGCUGGGAUAAGCCCAGUGUUCACAAGCCCAUGUGUGGCUACUUUUCGAAACCUCUUAUCUUCUGUAAGAGGUAGCUAGAGUAUUAUAGUAAAACCCUCGUCGAACAUAUCAUGUCAGUAGUUCAACUAAGCUUGUGUAGGAACUAGAAAACAAAUUAAUUAAAACAGUUGUCGAUCUAGAGAUAGACAUUGCAACAAUUAUGAAGUUAUAUAAAAAUGAGAGCUUUUACAUAUAUGACCAAAUUAAAUUCAAAAUCACUGGCAUUUUUAAUUAAGACAGCAAAAGAGAAAGAUGUUUAUUACCCUCUCAUACAGUUGGCGGCGAAAGCGGUGGCGGGAAGCUUGCAUAGAGAAAUUUGGGGACAUUAAUAAAUUCCAACACACACAGCCUCUCAACUAGCAAUGUCUUGAGGUCCACGGUGAAAUAAUGUGCUUCUUCCCAGCGCUGAACAUGGUCCCGUGGAAGCCAUCGUAGGAAAGCGUAGCCAUUGGUUGUUCCACUGAGGUUCCAUAGACCAGCAAACAUUCGGACUGUUUUGUCGUGCCGCCACUCUUGAUCAACGACCACACCACCAUUAUUAUUGCCUUGCCAAGCUCUACUAUACAGCUCUAACUUAUCUUCAAGAAGUAACAAUAGACCAAGCCUGCCUUCCCCAGCUGCCUCCACAACGAUUUUAGAUCGUCCAUUGCUUUUCUCCGGGAUGUCACUGACGACGAAGAAUUUCAUCUCACGCGUGUCAAGCACGAGCAUAAAAUUUUCUGAAAAACACGUCCAGUAGAAGCCAUUUGCAGGCUGUCGAAACCAGAGCGAGCACAGAUUCUUCAUCACAUAGUUUGGGUUGCUGAAUGACGCCACGGCUCGCCAUUGUCUGCUGGCUGAAGAGAAGGCGAAGGUCACCAACAUGGUUCCCGACAGAGCAUUGCAUAUCACCUGGAACGACGACAAUUCAUCGACGACCUGAUCCUCGUCGGCCGCUGAUGGCGCUGGUGCGAGGAACGGCUCGAACUCGAGUCGUCGUAGGUCAUCAGGAUCACCACCAUCAUGGUCAGUGGAGGUCGUCGCCGCCGCGUCAAGGAGAUCGUCGGGGAUCGGCGGAAUCUCGACAUGCCGCCGGUGGAGGGGGUCGCAGACAAUGAGGAGAGGAGGACGCCGGUGCAAGGUGUGCCAAAGACGUUUGUAGCGGGAGAGGAGGACGCGGCCGUCACGAGCGUCGCGGACGACGCCCCAGCAGCAGCGGUUGGGGCCAGGGAUGAAACGGAAGGUGAAGUCCGCGGCGUCUGCGCAGGCGCCGGCGGCCAGCGCGGAGCGGCGCGGCGACUGGAUGGGGCGGAAUCGGAUCUUACCACCGCCACGAUUCUCGAGUAGCCCUAGGACUGGCGGGCGGUGGCGGGACCUGAAGCGGCGCAGGAAGCGGCCGUUGGAGAUGACGCGGCGGAAGGAAGCGCAGGCAGCCGAGGCGCGGGCGAGGUCGGCGGCGUCCUCUAGGUGGAGGAAGAUCUGCUCCAGCAGAUCAGUCGGGAGGUCGGACGCCAUCGAUGGAUCGCGUGUGGUCUGCGCGCGGCGGCGCACGGCUGGUGAUAUAGAUCGAGGCAGAUUACUUAACUGCCGCAGCUCUUACCCGAUAUGCAGUUAUGCACUCGCCUAGACAAAGAGGGUUAUUGGUGAAAUUUUGCAGAAAUUAUGUAAUCUCGUAUUUAAGGUUUUUAUAAUUUUGGUAUCGCAAAAAUUUCGGCCACCAAUUUUUUAGAGACUAGUACAUGAAGUAUGUUUUUCUUUUAAAAAAAUUAGAUCUAAACACUUCUAUUGAAUAGAAGAAUAUAUGCAAUAUAAACAAUAGAAAAUAUAAGUAUAAAGUUAUAUAGCACAUGUAUUAAUAUAUAAUGAAAUUUCCGAUUUUUCUUUCGGCCACAACCGAAAUUACCGAAAAUCGCAAAAUUUUGGUGAAAUUUCGCCAAAAUUUUGAAUCUUGAUCGUAUUUUCCCCUUGGAUCGGAAUUUUUUUUCAUAACGACCAUUUUUUUUGGUUAAAUUCAUCUUUCCCUCUAAGAGCGCUCCCUGGGCGGCUCAGUGGGGAGGCGACCAUCAUAGCGCCCUAGGGCCUACCCGUCGCGGCCCUUCCCUCCGGCCAGCCGGCGGCGGCCCAAAAAAAGGUUUUCGUCGUGGCUUCCUCCUCUCCCCACCUUUCUCUCCCCCUCCCUGUCCUCUACGCCUGACUGUAAGCUGGAUCUGGCUUUACCCUGCAUGGAUAUGCGAUGGAGCUGGGUGGUCGGCCGAGCGUGGUUGCCUCGGCUUCUGAGCUGUGGUCACGGCGCCCGGAACCGGACAGGCGCGCUUCUGCCACCUUCACGCCUUCCCGCGUCACACAGCACCGAUGCCUCCUCUAGUUCUCCUCCUUGAGUUGCACUGUGGCAUUAUCUAGGGUCUACGGGCACCUGGCCAUCAUCUAGCGGGGCGGCAUCAACUUGCGGCACAGUUUGGGGGAUCUGGCUUCGCGCUCGUCCCCUCUUAGCCACGGCUGUGUGGCGGCUGGAGCGGCUGCCCUGUGCUGGAUGUGGGGCAUGGCACAAUGCUGCUUCAGCACUCCGUUGCCGGGGACAUCGACGCCGACAGCUAUGCGGUGCUGUCCACAGCUGGGUUUCCCCCGUGGCUUGCCGCCCCUCCCAUUCCCGUGCUUCGCCGGUGAGCCAGGGCCUGGCUGGCUGACUUGGGCCUGGUGUGGCGGUGCUAUAGGGCCUCGUGGUGUUGCAGCUGCAAUUCAUGGAUUUCGGGCGAAAGCUCAGUCCGAUCAUUGUGCCUGUGCGUGCCUUUUUUCUUCUGCAAUGGGUUGCACUGCUAGACUUGACCUUGUCGGCGUCGUUGCUAGCGGAUGCUUUGCAGCUAGCACUUUCUUCUUUGACAUUGUUGCUAGCCCCUCUUGGACAUAUGCUUUGCUACUAAAAGUGUCUUGGCCAUCCCCUCGCUAUGGAUGUUGCCAUAGGGGGUGUCUUCUUCCUGGAUGGAAUCAUGGUCGUGCGGGUCCCUGAUGGAUGCUUUGCCGCCAUUGUCUCUUUGGCCCCUCAGGAGAUAUUUUGCUGCUGAGAGUGUGCUGGCCCAUUUCUUGGUGGAUGUUGCUGCCGUGGUCGCUUGAUUCGUUGGCGGAUACUUUGCCAUGUUACUGCUGGUUGCUCGUUCUCUAGGUGCAUGCUUUGCCACCAGGGCUUGGUCUUUUGCAUAGGAAUCCAUUGUGUUUUUUAUCACAAGCACAAUAGUAGGUCUAGUGUGUUGAGGGUGGUCGCUCUCUCUUUGUAUCUUUUGUUUUUCCUAUGUUUAUUUUAGGUUACUCACUACUAUCUUAGUGGUUUGUAAUAUGUGCUAUGAGGGUUCUCUCAUAGCUGACUUGUGGUUAACACUUAAUGAAAUACAGGCUAUAUCAUCCGAUCGCGAAAAAAAUCAUUCCAUCUAAGAUCCGGUCGGGGGCCCAGGCUACGUCCUCCUCUAGCGGCCUCUCCUCCUCGCUCAGAUCUGGUCGGGGGCAUGACCUGGUCCUACAUCACGCGCGAUUGCAAAAUUUAUGUGUUUAUAUUGUAUCUUAAGCUAUUUAAAUCCAUACUAAGUUUAAUUUAUGCAGGCAUCAAAUUUAAAAACUUUUGAAAAUAAAAAUGGCUUCAAAGGAUAGUUAGCAUAAAAUGCUAAUAAAUUAGGUUCUCCACUAUCAUAACAUCUCCCAUAAAUCUUGUUUUUAGUCUAAAGGUGCAUAGUAUGAUUUAGUCAUUUAUUUUGGCCCAUCACAUGGAUGGUUAUUUGACCGAUUAGAUGAUUUGUUUAACUCAAAUCAAUGAAUGCAGUUCAGUAUCCUCCCACAUACAUAACAACGACAACCUCUUAAUUCUAGUCAUCACUACAAUAGAACCUAUAAAAAAUCAACAUACAUAAAUCUAAUACUACCGGUUCAUAAAAAAUCAAAUCACUAAUCCUAGUUUUGUUUUAAAAAAACUAAAACUAAAAUAGACAGGUUUUCAAACCCCAUACCCAUGGUCAUCCCCCACACACCGCACCAUAAAUACUCUCUACAAAUGGGAUCAUCACCUUUUGAUCUUCCUAGCUAUACUGUGCUCAUGUGCAUGAGCUAGUUUAAGGUAUGUACAAUGCUUUGGUUCCGCCCCCAUGAGAAGUUGGGAACUGAUGGUGCUACCUAGAUUGUUUCUGUGUCACUGCCAAUAGUGCUACCCUUGGCCUACAAUGCACCAUUCUAAACCCCCGCCCUAAAAGGAUCAUGUACUUGGUGACUGACCUCAUUAUACUUGACACUAAAGGCAAUUCUUGGUGCCACCACUGCCUUGGAUGACACACCUACCUAGUUGAUGAUCGUUGGGGGGAUACCUUGCGCACCACCCCAUCAUAGCCCCAUCUAGGAUCCAGAUCCUCAACUCCUCUACCACACCAAAAAAUGUAGACUGCUUCCACCUGUCAUGACCCACGAACUACCCUUGGCAGGACCCUCGCCACCUCGAUCAUCGGUAACACCCCUGUGAAGGUAACUUUGACCCUGUGCUUUUGCAUAUGCUCGAAAGGCAAGUCCAGGAGGGAGAAGGCCAUAGCGAACCUAGUUCCAUCACUUUGAGAUGAAGGGCGGAAGGCAGCAGUCCUAGGAACGGAAUCCGUAAGAGCGUUAGGAAGUAGUCGAGGGGAGAAAGUGGAAUGUCCGUGGUGUGCCUAUUACAUCUCUCCAAAAUGAUGCCUAGCCUGGCCAGGGCAAUAUGUAAUUUCUCCGAGCCCUUGGAUAUGCUCUAUAAAUACCGGGUGGAUGACACUGUAAUAAAGGAUGGAUUAAUGGCCAUAUGCAAGGAGAUUUUUAAGCUUUGUCAUAAAUGAAACACUUUUUAGGGCAUCCACCGAUCGUCCCCUACCCUCCAUCCGAACAUUCUCAAAUAAUGAAAAGAUGCUUAUUAUUUAUACAACUUAAGAUUUUCAAUUUUUCCCACUCAACCAAGGUGCUACAACUAAACAUUAGCAUAACCAUAUCCCUGCAUCGCCGUAGGCUUGGAUAAAAAUACGUGGCCUCGCUCGUUGCAACACACAGACAUAUCUCUAGUAGAAUAAAAAAGUGGAUAAAAAGAAAUGCUUUGCUCUUAAAUAUUAGGGAUAUAGAUAUAGAUAUAGAUAUAGAUAUAGAUAUAGAUAUAGAUAUAGAUAUAGAUAUAGAUAUAGAUAUAGAUAUAGAUAUAGAUAGAUUUUGGCUGCUAAAGACGCACGGUUUUUUUUUGUUACGCCAUGACAUAGCGAGCAAAUUUUCUAUCAAAAAAGAAUUAUAUUGUUUCUUUAGAAGAAGAGAAGAACAAAAUGCUAGUGUUUUUUAUAUAUAUAUCACCAAACAAAAUGCUCUCAUUGGAUAGAGGGAAGAAACUUGAGACGGGCCGGCACUUUGCUAAAAGUAAUGACCAUCGAAAACUCUGGCCCAGCCCGUUUAACUCCAGCAGACAGUAGUAACGGUCGUCGACCAGAGAGCCUACCUAGGUUUCGCUUCUCAGCGACGAGCGAGCGAUCCUCACUCUCACCACACCAACCGCGCCGACCGCCGACAGCAGCAUCGAGCGUGAUGCCGACGACGAUCCUCGACCUCCCACUGGAGGUCACGGAGGACAUCUUCCUCCGCCUCGACGACGCGGCUGACGUCGCCCGCGUCGCCGCUGCCUGCAGAUCCCACCGCAGCGUCGUCAGAAACCGCCGAUUCCUCCGUCGGUAUCGCUUCCUGUACCCUCCGCCGGUUCUCGGCUUCCUCCAAGACUCCAUGGGGAACACAGGCUUCCUCCACGCCGACGAGCCGCACAAGUCUGCCCCUGCCGCUGCCUCCCUGCUAGCGGAGGAGGCAGACUUCGGCUUCUCCUUCCUCCCCACGGAUCCCAACGGCAACUACGGCAGCCGAAGCUGGCGCGUCCGCGACGCCCGCGACGGCCGUGUCCUGCUCUCCCGUCGCAGCGCCGACGACAGCGCCACCUUCCUGGACCUCGUGAUCUGCGACCCCGUGUACCGCCGGUACGACGAGAUCCCACCUAUCCCUGAAGAUCUGUGGACCAAGCGCUACAGCGCAAAAAUGAAAUCCGAGCCCUUCCUCCUGCCAGCUCGGGAGGAGGAAGACGAGUCCCAGUUCCGAGUGAUCUACAACUGGAUGUGCAAGUACAAGAUCAUCACCUUCCUGUUCAACUCAGACAGUAGAAUUUGGAGUGUGGGUACAUCUCUCAGCUUAUUAUUACCCGAGAGGCUGAUUUAUGAUCCGAUGGAGUUUGUGCGCCACUAUGUCGGGACCUGCUUCUACUGGGUGCAUCAACGUGUGCCACACUAUAUGAUUGUGCUUGACCCGGUUGAGAUGGAGUUCUCCAUCACCCGUCUCCCUUAUGUGACAGGUGAUAUGCUAAUAGGGCUGGCCGUUGUUGAUGCAGCAGAGGUGAACAGGCUUGGCAUCAUAGGUCUUGGCUAUGAAAGCAAUUUACAUCUCUAUUCUAAGCAGAUAGGUGGUAGCACAGAAGAGUGGCGACAUGACAAGGAUCACACCUUGCCUGAGGACUACAAACACUGCCACAUUAUUGGCGCAUCCGAGGGCUGCUUGGUACUUGAAAACUACAGCGUGGAAAUAGCACAAUAUUUCAUAAUGGACCCAAAAACAUUUCUGAUUGAGAGGUUCUGUAAGGGCAAGCAGCAGUAUGCAGCUGAGCAUGCUCUCCCGUAUGCAAGAUUUCCACCAUCAUUGUCAGCGCCGAGUAUAUGAAAUAAUGGUAAGAACCUUCCUCAGCUUGUCUCGUUCAUUAGGAAUUAGACUGUUCUGUUAGUUUGGUCUUUCAUUGGGAUUUGUAUAUAUUUGCUGCAUCAAAAUUAUCUCAUGUCCACCAUGAACAGUUUACUACAUACAUAAGAAGUCAUGUGUUAAGGGCGUGCGCGCGCAGGGGAGGGGGGGGGGGCGGAGACCUAGGCGGCAACGGCUAGGGCAACUAGGGCAGCAGCGCAGGGGGCGGCAUGGGCAGCGUCAUGGGAGAGGAAGGGGGCGGUGCCAGAGAGAGAGAGGGGGGGGGGGGAAGAGCUUUCGCUCGUCUAUUGCUUAAUUCAUUUGGUUAUAUAUCCCUAGGUAUUUAUAGUCCUUAUAGGGAUUGACUUCUAAGCUAACUACGAGAUCUUUAUCAAACACAGAUUCUCCUUUCCAUCUAGCAAAUUUGACUCCCUAACUUAACCAACUCUUUUCAAAAACUAAUACUUGAUAUGGUAGUUGUAGAUAACGAAGGCAGGAUCGGUGGCGUCCCUCCCCUCCCCUCCCUUGGGCAUGCACCCAGCUAGGGCAGGCCACGCGGCCUAGCUAGCGCAGCAGCUGCGGCGGCGGCGCCCCCUCCUUGGGCCCUAGUUGGCUCGUUUUCUCCGCCAAUGAGUACAACCCACAUUGGACCUGUGACAGUACUCCCACUUCUCCGCUCAACGCGUCCUUGUGCCGAAAUAGGACCUAGCUAUUGACGUCGUCAGGGGUAAGCGCUCCACCUGACAAGAUGGCCAGAGGGUACGGUGCUGAUGUAGUUGAAGAUGAAGUAGAGGUAGUUGCUCACGUUCGUCCCUGUUCGAGCAUCGUUGCAUGACGCAACAAGGAGAGGCCAUGGGACAACUGUCCCAAAGUUGAAGUGGACCCUCUCUUGAGGUGGAGCAACAAAGUCGUGGAUGUGGUGGUCAUCAUCAGGGGCAAGGCAGGCAAGGAGCCAGUGCUAGAUUGUCAAGGUCGCACGUGUAGGUGUGAUGUCGUUAGGUCGAGCAUGGUGCCAAAAAUGAAGGUUCCUAGAUCUAAUAAGCCUGGUGACAGCCGGUGGUCGUAGGAGUCUGGCAAAAGGGUGACAUGAAUGUUGUCAACAUGAAUGAGAGCACGACUGAGGUUGUCGAGGAAGACCACCGUUGCUGCUGAGAUAGAAUGCCACCGUAGCCACGAUGGCCCAAGAGGAUGCUCGUGGGCAUCCCGUUGUGUUUCCCCCUAGUCGACGGAGGGUGAGCGCCUAGGGCCAACAGCUCCAUGCUGGCUAAACCACCUCGGCGUAGAACCUGCAAAAGGUUAGGGAUCGGAGUAAUGCUAAUGUCACUGGUAAGUAGAGGAGACCAUUGAAGAAGAGGAGGCCUUGGUCGAGCGACUAAGCUAGGGCGAUGGUGUCCUGUUAUUGUAUAACUAGUUGAUGUCAAUAUUCGAAGAUGACAUUAGAGGUAAAGAUGAAGCAAUAGUGGCCGGAUCCGAAGUAGCCCGAAGUGAUGUAGUCAUAAGCUAUGGCAUCUUGUCGAAGGCUAUAGACAUGGUGUGCAUCUGCCAAGGCAGCUCUAGGAAGUACGCUUGUGUCGUAGUUGAUCGGAGAGAUGAACAGGGAGCCAUUGCAUACAUGGCCAAUGUGGACGUCAUCGAUGUUGAGUGGUGCCGCGUGUUCAUGGAUGAUGAGCAUGUUGUCAUGGAUGCCGAGUAUGGCGCCUACCAUGCACAUGAUGUGCCAGUCAUGCUCAACAUACUACAGGGCGAUGAUCAUCAGGAAGAGGUUGUAGGCGAUGUCGUUGGUGUCAUAGUUGUUGAUGAGCAUGAUGUGUAGGUUGUUCUCGUGGUUGCUGAUUUCCACGUUGGGGGAGAUAUGUCGCCAUCCGAAGAAGAGUCCGCAACAGCUCUUGUCAUAAUUCAUGGGGAAGGACAACUUGGUGUAGUGACGUUCUGGGGUUGACAAGGGUUUUGUUGCUGCUAAUUGUGGCAAUUGUUGUGGAGGCCGACACCUUGUGGGUCGACUGUGGUUUCGCAUCUAAGGGCACCUUGGGAUCUGCUAUUAGAUGAGGAAACAGAAAAUGGAGCUGUGCCAUAGAUGUUACCUCUUGUCCGUGUUGGAUGAUCGUGCUGAUGUCAUUAAACUCCUUGGGAUAAGAAUCCUUGCAGUUGUGUUGAGUGUCAGGUAGCAACGGGCUGCUACUAUUGUUGGUGGAGGGAGCCCCAAAGUUGAUGACCGGAGCAUACCUAUUUGUGGACAAUCUGGUUUGGGCACAACAGCAAGGGCGGUUGUAGUGCUUCUGGUGCCAUAGAUAAGCUAUUCAACACCUCCCUGACGAUCUCUAGGGUGUCGAUGUUGUCGAAGGUGAUUGUAGCCAUGGUUGAUGUUAGCACUGUGGAUGAUCUUGGGGCGAGCAUCGCUAAUGUAGAUAUGGGUGUUGUGCAAAUUUCCUCUGAAGGCAAUUUUAGAUCUGCUAUUGAUUGAGGAGGCUAUGAGGACGACAUUGUUGGUGGUGCACCUCCUUUGUGCAUGAUCUCCGAGGUUGUAAGUUCCAAUUGAGGUGGAUCUGCUCGUGGAGGAGAAUUUUUGUGGCGAGCAAAGAACUCCUCAAACUUCUUCCAAUUAUUGAUGACCUUGUGGAUGUCAUCUACGGUGUCCUUCUUAGGGCGUGUAGGCUCAAUGCAGGUCAGCGUGGUGGCAAGAUUAGCGAGGUUCGCACUGAUCUCGUCGAAGCGGUUGUUCAUGAUGGUGGAGAAGGUCGUGAUUUGCUUCUUGAUGUUGGCAGUCAAGGUGGUGGCCCAGGACAUGGAUUCCCGAAGGAUCAUUUUGGUCUCCGGAUACCAAAUGUUAAGGGCGUGCGCUAGGGGGUACCCGGCGAUGUGGGCCACGGCGGCUAGGGCAGCUAGAGCGACAACGCAGGGGGCGACGUGGGUGAGGAAGAGGGCGACGUGUGUGUGUGUGUGAGAGAGAGAGAGAGAGAGAGAGAUAGGAAAAGAGCUUUUGCUGGUCUAUUACUUGAUUUGUUUGGUUACAUAUCUCUAGGUAUUUAUAGUCCUCAUGGGACUUCACUCACAAGCAAACUAGGAAAUACUUAUCAAACAUGGAUUUUCUUUUCCAUCUAACAAAAUCGACUCCCUAACUUAACCAACUCUUUCCAAAAACCAACUAAGACUUGAUAUGGUAGUUGUAGAUAAUGACAGCAGGGUCGGCGGCAGCCGCGAUGCCUCUCCCCUACUUUGGGCGCGCGCCUAGCUAGGCUAGGCUGCGUGGUGGCAGCGUCCCCUUCUCAAGCCCUAGUUGGUCUAUUUUCUCCGCUGAUGAGUACGACCCACGUUGGAUGUGUGACAUGAUAUUCUCUAAUAUGGUGUCUAUCCAUAUAGUAUAGUAUAUGUUUUUUGUUUGCGGGGAGGGGGGGGGGUUUAGUUUAUUAUGAAUUGACAUUAGUGUUUACAUAUAUUUUCUAAAAUACUAUUGACGGCUAUAAAAUGUAGUUUGAUAAAUAAGACAUCUGCCCUUUACAAUACAACUUUUAUUUGGAAUGAUCGGCAAAAGCUUUGCUGAAAGUAGAGUAAAGAUAAAAAGGUAUUUACAAAAAAAUUAUGAAUCUUGCAUGGCUCACCCUAGCCAAACACCUGUAGCUUACAAGAUUUACACUGAACGAACUCUGGAAACAACAAACUAAGCAACAGGUCUUAAAACUGGAAAAACUGUGCUUCCAAAAUACCCCGAUUGAUCAUUUCCGAACGCAAAAUCAUGCUGUUGUAUGUCUUCCUUGAUUAGGUAAGUAACUUCUAGCGGAUGUAAUCCUUGUGCUGAAAGGUUCUGCAGUUUCUUUCCUUCCAUAUGUUACAAUACUUGGAAAUGAUCAAUUCCUUUCAAUAAUAGAUUAAGAUCCUGUCAAAUUCCUUUUUUUGGCCUUGUCAAUUCUUGUCCUCUAUUUUCUCCAAACUCUGUAUACUGAACCCUGUAAGAUAGGACCCGCCCAUAUGAAGCUAAGUUCCACCACCCACUGAUGAUUGCCCAGGCUCUCUUGCUAAAGUUGCAAUCUUUGCAUAGGUGUCUUGAGUUUUCCUGCUCACUGUUACAUUACAUGCAACUUAGGUCAUUCGACCAUCCUUUCUUUUUGUAUAUUAUUUGUUAUUAGAAUUUUGUCAUGUAUCAAGGUCUGGGCGACGAACCUGGCCUUCCAAAUGGCUUAUCUCCAACUUAUUACUAUCUCCUCUGAAUUGAAUCCUGUAAGCUUGUGUAGUCACCAUUCAUUGUCCAUCAUAUAUAUUCUUUGAUCUGGUGAUCUGAAGUAACAAGCAUCAAAUGUCUAGCCCACCUGGGGUGAAAUGUUUUUUUUUUUCUUAUGGCCUUGUGAUGAUAUAGAUUUGGUGUGAUGCUUCUUGAUGCCUUUCCAUUCAGCCAAGAGGAUAAUCAGAAUUUUGCCAUGUCACCUUUUCCUACUUUGACCGCUGUGGAAGCAUGGAAUAGAGAUUUGUGUCUGUUUUAUCGCAUGGGAUGACAAUCCCUUCCACAUCCAUUCAAGGCGAAGAACCCUCACAAUCCGUUCGACCAAGAUCACCUUUGUCUUUUGGCCAGCAAGUGAUUGGCCAUUUUACUAGACAAUGCCAUGCACUCACCUUUUUUUCGCAGCUUGUCAAACUUUUUUUUAUCAGCCAUUAAUGUGCCUGAAAGACAGGUGAUAUAUUGGUUGAGAUGACAGAACUAUUUGGACUAGCAUUUCCUUGACCUGCCUUAGUGAAACAUUUUUCUUUCCAACCAGGUAGUCAUGCCCCUAUUCUGUCUAUGAGGCUAGAAUUCGAUUUUCUUUACCUUAAUUUCUUGUAUGUAGUGUGGCAGCCCUAGAUACUUUCCAGUACAGUUUGUGGCAUUUUUAGUGUACUCUAUAGACUGCAUAGCUAGCAUUUGUUUGAGACCUAGAGCAAACAAAUUUUCUCGUCUUUGUAGGAACCAUUUCUUUCAUCAGUAAAUCAAAGUAUCUAUGUUAACAAAAUGCAAGAGUUCUCCUGUCCAAGUAAAAAAAAUCAUAACCAGGGUCACAUGGUUAUUUUUUGUAGGAUCAUUUGGAGUUGUGGACACACUUCAAUACGAUCCAUGCACUUUGAUAUAAUUCACCUUGAUGAUUCUUAUGAUGUAGUAUUUGGUUUUUCAGGGGUUUUCAGAACUCCACAUUGGGCAUUAUUAAGGUAACAGGGGCAACGUCAGCUGGUGGCACUGCUUGUUUGAUGGCUGAGGAACAUAUAUCAUGGAUUCAACAUCUCCUCGAUCUAAUAUCAGUUUGAGGGCAGAAGAAUAUUGAACAAUAUAUAUAUCCGCUGCUACUGGCGGACGAUAUGUAUCUAUAGUUAUGUUACUCCUUUUAAGUAAUUUGGAACUGGUCAAUCUGCUGUCGUGGGGCAUCUGGUCUAGCGCCACCCCAUACACCAAUAUCCACUCUUAAACUGUAAACUUGGAGAGGUUUGUCCAAUGGGGGGCUACUAUGGUAGGAAACUGGAUGUUUUUUUUAUGAAAUUGGAAACCUGAUGUUGUUUGUCCCAUAUCUAAUAAUCUUCUAUCAUGAAUUUUUUGUGUGUGGGGAUGCUUGCUUGCUUGGUGAUACAGCCUUCUCCAGGUGCUGUUGUGCAAUGAUGUCGAACAUGGAAAUUCAUCGGUGUAUGCAGAGCAAACAUGUCUGGCACCUGGUUUUUGCUUAGUACUAUUCAGAUUGUCACACACACUACCGGAUUCGGUGGGUUCGCCGUGUGUCUAACACACACGGCAAAGCCUAAGUAGCACACGGCGAAGGGUUUGCCAUGUGUUGCUCACGGCGAAGCGCACACGACAAACUAUGCCACGGCGAACCAUAGCUUUACACACGGUAAAAAGGUAAGCACACGACGAAGCUUUGCCGUGAGUCAAGCUUGGCACGCGGCGAAAAAAAGGUAACGGACGGCGGGAGACGGGCAUGACGGAAAGGUUUGCCGUGUGUUUCACACGGUGAACCUUUGCCGUGAGCUAAGGAGGGCACACGGCAAAAACUUAUUUUAGUUUUUCCUGAAAAUAGGGUUUGCCGUGUGCUACCAUGAAAGUCGAAUCUACUUGAACUCAUACUCCUUCACUCAUAACUCUCUCAAACUUCUUCGAAGAUUGUUUGGUUUCUACACAUCAUAUAAGACAACUUGUUCGAAAUCUCCCCAAACUUUUUUUAUGACCUCUAUGUAUGAUAACAUGACAUAUGUACAAGUUUCAGGAUUUACGGGAUCAAAUAACAUUUAUUAGAAUUUUUGAAAAGUAUCGACGCAUGUUCGGCGUCGUGCCUCCUAACCAUGGCAUUCGAAAGUCAUUUCCGUUUCGAAUGUGGGUUCUUAGACAGGGUUGGGUAACAUGAAAAUCAUUUUUCCCACAUAUUUUUCCAACAAUUUCACUGAGUCGUAGUUCAAAUUUGACCGCAUCCGGAAAAAUGAAAUUAAAUGCUGUUAACUGCAAAAAUAUAGCAAACAUGUUUCAAAUUUUAUAAAAUUUGAGUAUGGAGUUACAAAUGGUGAGUGUGUAGACAAGAAAAAAUUUGGAGGGCAAAAUCUGAAAAAAGACAAAUUGUUCGCCGUGUGCUGCACACUUGGCACACGGCAAAGUUUGUGUUUGCCGUGUGUCAGCCACAAGCACACGGCAAACCAGGCUUUGUCGUGUGCCUAACGGCCGCACACGACAAACGUUGACGGCUGGGGGUUGGUGUUAGUGUGGAGUUAGCUUUUGCCGUGGGUUGCUCACUUUUAAAGUUUUGAGGUUGCCGUGUGCCUCGUGUUUGCCGUGAGCAACACACGGCAAAGGCCAGGUAUACCGUAUGCCUAGCGUUUGCUUGGGCUGGACACACGGCAAACCCGACCUUCGCCGUGUGUUGCUCACGGCAAACAGACGGGCACACGGCAAAGGCCGGCUCUCCGGUAGUGACAUUAGCCAGCAUCAAUUGUUGUGUAUAUAUGUUGGCUGCAAUUCUCUAAUUAUAUGUAUUAUUGUAAUUGGCAAUAGACGCCUUGUGUCAUUUUAUCUAUAACUCUUAUAAUCCUAAACCCCACUAAGUAUUUCUCUAAGCAUGCAAGCUAUCCACCUAAGCAAUACACUACCAUAUUGAGUUAAAAUCCACUAAGUAAAACCUCAAUAACUAUUUAUCUCAACAUGCAAUGUGCUACCACAUAUAUACAAUUAAAAUCCAAUAGCACAUAUGACAACUGUAGUGUCUACGCCAGCAAGAUAAAUAAGUAUAGUCCACAUCAUCAUACUAUACAAUCCAUUAAUCCGCGAUUCCCGCAGCAACGCGCGGGGUAUGCUCCUAGUUUCAUUAAAGUUCAAGAACGCAUGAUUGUGAUCUGAGUCCAAAAUUUUCACUUCGGGCACUAAUAAUGCUCAGGCCCAAACUAGAGUUGGAACACUUCAUGCAUGCAAGUUUGGGACGAAGCUCAGAUUGGACCAGCGUGGGAACACACAGAAUUUAAAGCACGUGGUUGACUUGUUUACUUAUUUAAUUUUCACAUGAAAGUUGAUAAGCAAUUGCAUAAUUUAUGUGCUUAUAUUGUAUCUUAAGCUAUUUAAAUCCAUGCCAGAUUUAAUUUAUGCAGGCACUGAAUUAAAAAAAUCUUUUGAAAAUAUAUACGGCUUCAAAGAAUAGUCAGCAUAAAAUGUCAAUAAAUUAGGUUCAUUACUAUCAUAACAUCUUGCAUAUUUCUUAUUUUUAGUCUAGAAGUACUGCACGCCCACAUGGAUGUUUUCUUUUCCAGUUAGAUGAUGUGUGAUGAUGUUCAAAUCAAAUCAAUGAAUGCAUUUCUAUAGUCCUACCACAUAUAGAACUACAACAACCUUCUGUGUCCUCCGGCUAGCUCUAGUCAUCAAUACAACAGAACCCAUAAAAAGAUAAAAUAUUAACAUACAUAAGUCUAUUAUUACCGGUUCAUAAAAAAUAAUUAGAUCACUAAGACAAGUUUGUUAAAAAAUAAAACUAAAAUAGACAAUUUCUCAAUCCCCAUUGCCAUGGUCAUCCCGCACAGACCAUAUAAAUAUAUAUACCCCACCCAACACACAAGGCAUCAUCUCCUAGCUAGACUGCGCUCAUCUGCAUGAGGUAGUCUAAGGCAUGUACAAUGCUUUCGUUUCGCCCCCAUAACAAGUCGUGAAGUGAUGGCAUUACCUAGGUCUUUUCCGCACCAUCACUACCAAUAUAGGACUACCCUAGGCCUGCAAUGGACCAUUCUAAACCCCCACGUCUUGCACCUGGUGCCCGACCACAUUGUACUCUACUCUAAGGCAAUUCUUAUGCCACCACUUACCUUGGAUGACACCUAGCUAGAUGGUGAUCCAUAGGCCCGAACGUGAUGAAUAGGCACACGACAAGUCAUCACAAGUUGGACCUAGUAGCUUGUAACCCCAGGCCCCUACACGGCCGCAAUCGGCAUAACAUGUCCUUAGGGUAGGGUUCGUGUGGUAUGGUCCCCUACACGAACCAUCGAAUAGGGUCUGUGCGGUGUAGGUGCACUCCAUGUGACACUUCUCUAACAUUUGUUUGAUGGCUAAAGAGAAUAUUGCACAAGAUAUCUACUUUUACUAGUGGUGAUGACAUGUACUUAUAGUUUGUUCGCCUUGUUUGUAGUUUGCUCCAUUAUGUUGUAAUCUGGAAGUGCUCAAAAUCUAGAAGUGGGCUUUAUAGAACCCCUAUCUACUCUUAAACUGUACCCAAAGGAGAUUUGUCCAAUGGUGCCUGCAAUGGGAGGAAAGUAAAUGUGGUACUUAACUUUUCCUAGCUCCAAUAAAUCUUCUACUUCCUCCAUCCCGAAAUAUACGUUAUUGAAGCAUUCACAAUUUGUCCCAAAUUAAGGGUUAUAUAUGACAUUUACUUUAUUAUCCCAUAAUAUGUUGCAAAAUUCAUAGGAUAACUUAUUUAAGGCAGAGGGAGUAUCAUUGUUUCCUGAAAAUGCUUGUCAUGAAUUUUUAGUACAGAAGUUUGAUAGGUGCACCACUCCAGAUGAGUUUUGUCCCGUGGCUGGGAGCACUCACUGCGGCUGCGCGUUCUCCGUCAGAAAUGCAGAAGCAUUCCCGACGUUGCCGCUGGACCGUGCUGAAGUCUCUCCCGUCGGUGCCUGCCGUCAGGGGCAGAUUUUCGGGCCUUCCCCGCACACAAUCCAGAGCUUCGUGCCCUCGUGAAUGCUUUUGGCGCGCCGAAAUGAAGCCUCCCGCGCUGCUGGCCGAGAUGCGCGCCCAACUCCAGCAAAUUAUUUCGUGGCUGACCCAUCUCUAUCCUCAAAAAAUCUUCCAUCCCUAUCCAAUUUCUCACCCUGCCUCCACCUCCCCCUCUCUCUCCCCUACCUCCAGAGCUCGCUUCCGUCGCCCAGGCACCCGCGAGCUUAAGGCCGGCCGCCGCGCGCCCCCAGCCACAGCAACUGACCGCUGCGGCACGCCGCCCACCGUGACUCCGCCUGCUAGCUGCCGGCCGCGACUCUGGCUGCAACAUGGCCAGGGCAUGACGCGACGCUGCUGCAAGACACCGCCGCCGCCCACCGCGGCUCCCCCAGCCACCACCUCUGCCAACCACUAGAACGCCGCAGGCUACGGGUGCCUGCACGUAGCCACCACCAGCCCCUCCCGUCGCCCCGAGGCACGAGCCCACCACGGUGUCGUCCGAAUCGACUUCGACGAUGCCGGCCAUCCCUCAACAACAGCCAACAGCGCUGCCGCACACCGACCUGACGGGCAGCAGCAGCCCCCUCCACAUCCG
rnacentral:lncRNA from 1 species